rnacentral:lncRNA from 1 species
UUCAAUCUCUGGCUUGCUCUUCAUUUGAGAAGCAGUUGCUUUGUUGGCCCUUUCUCGUCGGAUCGUGUGUACGUCUUAGACGUAUGGUCCAGAUUUUGUGGCUCACAAUCUCUGGUUCUUUGCUUUUGGUGAUAGCCCGUUUUGAUGGCAUGGUUUUGGUUGGAUCUCUAGUUCUCCUUGGAUUUGUUGAUUCUUACUCUCCCUCUCUUCGGUGGUCUUUAUUGUGAGCUCCCCGAUUCGAUCUGUUGCCUUUCUUGUUUGGAGUUUGGUGUCAUCGGUUUGGAUUUUUGUCUCUACACUCAAGACCUGAUCGAGGUCUGGUCAAAUCAAAGACUUUUAUCGAGGCGUCAAAUUGUAGUAGGUUUCUACAUCGCCGCUUCCGGAAGAUUUGCGAGUCUUCUUGUGAUUUGCUUUCGUCUUGCCGGAUAUGAAGUCUAGGAUUAUUUUAUUUGGGAGGUACUCUGGCUUCAUUAUAGGAGGUUUCGUUAGCUGCUAACGGAUUAUGUUCAUCCACUGUGGUUGGCUUUUGUUCAUCUAGGAGUAAGGGAGAUCUUUUGGCAGUCUUUUUCGUUUGAGAUCUUAGUUCCAGCUGCUGUGUUUCAUUUCGCUUUUUGUGGAUUGUAAUUUCAUCGUUUUCAAAUGUUUCCCUGUAACUUAGGGCUUCUGUUUUCCUCUUUUGGGCUAUGACUCUGGGGAUAUCUCGUUUUUCCGCCGGCUUAGUUUCUGGGGGUUAAAGUCCCGCCAGUCUUUGUAUUCCAAGAACGUAUUUCACCCGUGAUAUAUAAAUAAUCUUUCAGACGAAAAAAAAAAAAGAUAGAAUUAGAAGUAGGAUUGUAGCCUUGUUGGAAGUUGAUAGAUGGGUGAUGACUGAAAAAAUAUCUCUCAUAAGCUCAUCUUCCACUAUUAUUUAAGACUAUAUGACUAUAUCUAUAUACGUAUAUAAACACAUAUGUCUUCAGUUUCGGGUUUAUAGGUACCCAUUUAUGGGUAACGGAUAAUCCCCGAUCCGAACCGAUAUUCACAGGUUGACCAAUACUCUAUCCAAUAAGGUAAUUUCCGAAUACUCUAAUCCAACCCGAUUUUUUCGGUUCGAAUAUCAGUUCGGGUAUCGGAUCCGGUUUUUUUUGUCCAUGCCCAGUGAAAAUCAUGUUGACCCCAACAGUAUCUGCUUCGACGUCACCUCUCACCUUAUUCCUUCGAUUCCCCCCAUUUUCACUUUUCUUAUAUUUUCUCCAUCUCUGUCUCUUUGCUUGCUUCCUAUACACAGUUCUUCUCUGUUCCUCUAAUCGGAAGUAUGUAUAUUGAUUCUUAUUCUUCGAUCUUCUUUUUAUGAUUUGGUUCACCUCAAUUGCAUUAGAUGGAAGAGAAAUACUCGAAAUCUCGUCUUAAAUUAUAUAUGUUCUACUGAUGAUCAUCUUGUUUGAUUGCUUCCUUGAUUAAAGUAUUGAUUUUUAUCUUUGUUUCUUGUUAGGGUUUGAAUCUUUUCGUCAAUUUUCUAUCUGGGUUUUGUGCCAGUCGAAGGAAUAAGUGAAUCGUCGUCUUGGGUUUUCUCAAUUAAGAAUAAAGUUUCCUCCUUUUAGGGUUUUUGAAUUUACUUAUCGAAUUUGAUUAUAGUGUUGGGUGAUGGAUGAUUCUUGGAGCUACGGGAGAAGCGUUUUCAUGUCAAAUGAAACUCUUUUACCUUUUGAUUCUUUUGCUGAGAAUAGAAGAUUUGAACAUAGAUUCUCUAAUGAAUUGAGGAAUGAUAAUGAUGAUGUGUUGAUUUCUGACAUGGCUGGUAACUCCAAUGGAUUCAGUGCUGUUUCUAUUACCAAAGUGGUUCCUGAAGAGGAAGAGGAAGAGAACCAAUCUUCUUCUUCAAAGUUGUCUAGUCACGAAUUGAAUAGGAUAGAUUUCAAACUUAGGAGCAUUUUGGAUUUAGGAAAUGAUGAUGAUACAUCCUCUAGAGGUUUUGCUCUGCCAGCUAAAAAGUCUCGAGCUUCAAACCUUUGCUCUCAGAAUCCCUUGUGUCAAGUGUAUGGGUGUAAUAUGGAUCUGAGCUCUUCGAAAGAUUACCACAAAAGGCAUAGAGUUUGCGAGGCUCAUUCUAAAACUUCCGUGGUCGUAGUUAAUGGUCUUGAACAGAGGUUUUGUCAACAGUGCAGCAGGUUUCUUCUUUCUCCUCUCAAGUUGUCGUUUUAACUAACAUAUCAUGCUUGAUGGAUCUUGAUUGUUUGUUUCUUUUACCUUUUUCUUCUGUUCAGGUUUCAUUUCCUCUCAGAGUUUGAUGAUGGCAAAAGAAGUUGCAGAAGGCGAUUAGCUGGUCACAAUGAACGAAGAAGAAAACCUGCAUUCUAUUUCCUACCGGGUAAGCGCCAUAAGCUUCUUCGCACCUCUCAAGGUACUCAGUCUCUGUCUUUUCGCUAUCCAUUGAUGUAUUGAAUUAGCAAACUUGUGCAAGUUUGAAUCCAUUCUGUGUGUAAAUAGGUGUAGUAGGCAACAAGUUUCUGGAGAAUCCAUCGUUGGUAUUGCCAGAGUCAUUUCCUGGUAGUCUCUUAUACAGAGUAAUAGAUGACGACGACCACCGUGCAAGUAGACUCGUGAGUUUCAAAGAUGAACCUACUUGCUCUAUGUUUCCUGCUAUUGGGCAAAACAGCAGCAGAACUUAUGAAUCUAAACCAGCGAUUUAUUCAGCGGAAGUAUCCUCUAUUUGGGACUUACAUGAGACGGCGGUUUCACGCUCUACUUGUGCUCUCUCUCUUCUGUCAGCUCAGUCCCAACAACACUUGUCUCAAAUUCCAAACACAACAUUCUCAAUCACCCAACCAAACCAAAAUCCCAAUCACCCAUCACAAGUAGACUAUCAUGAAAUGGAACCGUUAUGGAUCGAUCCUGGCAAGACCAAUUCUGCUGGUUCUAGUUCAUGUAAAGGAAAAGGACCAUCCACGGUUGAUCUACUGCAACUGUCAUCACAUCUUCAAAGAAUCGAGCAACAGAGGAAUUACACUGGUGAUGUGAAGCAGGAAUAUAACGAGCUUUAUUUCCCUGGCUCUUAAAAAAAGGUUACAACAUUCUUAUUCCUUAAAACCGGUUCGAGCUUCUUGAGAUUUUCUGCACUAUAGGACAAGACAAGCCUGCGUGGUUUGAUUAGUUUAUUAAUUUGGGUGUGGUAAUUAUUAGAUUGGUGAAAUAGAUAGAGGAAUGAAGAAGAUCAAAUCAUGUUACAGGUAUUAUUGUAAUUUGUAACUGUUGUGUUGUUAUUCAUCAGUCAAUAAUGUUCUGAAGAAAAUUGCUUCAGAUAUCUAUGCCUGUUUCUUUUACACAGCGUUUCAGUCUCUUUUUUUUUCCGGACAAUUUGUAUAUAUAAUUGUAGUGAAUAUUCGCUGAAAAAGUGAAUUUUCACUUUUGUUUUGUUUUGUUCUGUACACUCACGUCAUCUGAGAUUCUCGAAUUCGAAGUUAGGAUGUUGAAAGUUGCAAGCUAAGUCCUUGGAAAAAUAUUAUGUCCUAGAUGGAAGAGGAAUAAGCAGAUAAAUUUUUGAUAGGAUUAAGACAAAUAAAGACCAGACAUAAACGUCCAAAGGGACAUAGCAAGUGACGUUACUUUCAAAUCUAAAGACAGACAGAAAUAUAAAGUCAUAGAAACUAAGGCAACAUCAUUUUCUGCAACAUGACAUACAUAAGGAAAAUUACAUGAACAACACAAGAUGAGAAAAACGACGCAGCCACUCGCACACGUGCAUGCGUUUGUUAUUUUUGGCUUCUUUUCCCCUGAGAUUUUUUUUUUCACUUCUUCUCACCGAACCCCAAGCCCUAAUUGAACAAAACAUUUGAAUUUUAAGUCUGUAUAUAAUAUUGUAUAUAAAUGUCCUUAUCCAGACUGAGUUUGUAUAGCGUACAUGGAUCAUGUUGUGGCCUCCGGAAGUAAUGGAAGUAGGAGAGUUGGGUAUGUACUUAGCCCACUGUUUGUGACAUUUUUCAAUUACACAAACGAAAUUGUGAAAAAAAUAUUUAUUAAUGAAAAAAAUGGUUGGUAACAAAAAAAAACUUGUCGUCUUACAUUUUUGGCAGCAGCACUGAAAGCUUCACGGUGUGGUAUUUCCGGAUUAGCACUUUUGAUUCGUUGGAUCUCAUCCCUUUUUAUAUUUUUCAAAACCAAAAAAGAUGAAGAAGAGUAAUUUUAUAUAUAAUUAAUGUUUAUGCAUUAAAUUUCAUAAUUUGGAAAUGAAGAAUAUAUAUAUGUCAAAGGUUAAAACCUCAUGAAGCGGUUGUAUGCAGAUGGAAGUCUCUGCUUCUUCUCAGGAGCUACAAUACAAAAAGAUGUUCAACAAAUUAUCAUUUAUUAUGUAGAUAGUGAUUAAAUUUAUAGAAGAAAAAAGAGUCAGAAAUGGUAAUAAGCUUAAUUACGUUUAACGACAAAGGGUGGUGUGGGGGAUGGUGGCUGGUCGCUGGAGGUAGAGGAAGAGGAAGAAGAAGAGCUUCCCUUCUUAUACUCACUCCCACCAAAGCUCUGCAUCUGCUUAAUUAAGAAAAUUACGAUAGGCUUAGUAUCACAUUUUUUAUUUAUAAAGAAUUAUACUCAUAUGUAUAACUAUAAAGCAAGUGUUAUAUACCUGAAGGGUGAGGCUGACAUGGCCUUGGAGAGGAGGAGUUGUGGUCAGAAACGAGAGGUUACCGCAAUGUCCGCAUUUCACUGUCACAGUGUCAAGCAUUCUCUUCAAUGGUAUCCCAACCUAUAUAUGUAUGUAGAUUAGGUUUACAAUUAGUUCAAAAUUUUGAAGAAAAUUUCACAACAUAAACAACAAUAUAUAGAUUCGCAUGCAUGACAUAUUAUCUACAUAAAUAUAUAAGGGUCAUGCACGUAUAUAUGCUUAGCCAUCUUCUGAUUUGUGUGGGUCACUUACCGCGAGGAUGGUGUUGCAGAUGCUACACCGGACGUAGUAGAGAUGUUCGGUUUGAGGGGAAGCCCUUGAAGCUGCCAUGGUUGGUUUCUCUUCAAGGUUCAUGAUCUUUAGCGAAUGGAUUGAAAACCGCUCUUGAAAGAAAGAGAGAGAUAAAGAAUCAGAAGAACUUUGUAGAGUUAGGGUUAUGGUUAUUUUAUGAGUUAGAAGGCUUGUAUUUAUAGAACAAACAUAGUGAGACCAUGAGAUGUAUAGAGAGAGGGAAAGAUUGUCCAAGUGUUGGACGUAUAUGCAGUCCAUAAUUUCAUUUUUAUAAUUUAUUUUAACAACAAUUAAUAUAUAUCUUAUCAAAAAAAAAAACCAAUUAAUAUCUUUUUUUCUUUUUUUUUACCAAUUAAUAUCUUAAACAAAUGACUUGAGGUGUAGACACGAAUUUUGGAGUGUGACAUUAUAAUUUAUGUGUUUUCUAGGGAUAUCUUACUUACUAUUCUAUUUUGUAACCACUGCAAUAAAUGUUUUAACAGAUAAAACAAUUUGGAACAACAAGUUUAAUUUAAAAAAAAAAAAAGUUUAAUUUGACGAUUAAUCUACGUUUCCGCAUGAUUCGGUAAGAUAAAUAAAUUAUACUAAUAUAUUAUUAACUGACUUUUAAAAAAGAUACGCAGAAUUUAAUGUAAAAACAAACUUUUAACAAAUUAAUUUUAUGUCAAAUCAUAUAUAUGAAUUAAAUUAAAGGGACCGGAUCUAGGGCUUUAUGACUUUUAUCUGUGUUGCUACUAUUGCGGAUGAUAGUACAUACUCCCUCUGCAAAAUCUUGCAGACGUAUUUAAUUUUGCUUCAAAAAUAUCAAGACUCUAAAUGUCACUCCUCGUACAUUAGUUUUUGCUAUAAUAAGCUGUGCUGAAGAUUAUUCAAUCAUGUUUUUCGUAUAAAUAUGAUUAUUUUUUAGUUAACACUAUACCUUAAUUAAUCAUGUGUUAUGUGUAAAUAACUCAUAAGUACUAGUCCAAAAUUAACUCAAGAUCAGAAUGAAAACAAACAAUCCAAUACUUUCCUAUACAUCAAUAUUUUCAAAAUAAGCAGAUAUACAUGGUGUAAGAUAUAUAUUCAUGACCAUUGGUUUAAGAUCGAUGUAUAUAUAUUUUCACUUUAUAUUCACCAGCUUCAACAUCGUACAGAUAUUAAUUAUGACACAUAUAUGCGAUGCAAAAUGACAAAAAGAGAUGACCAAUUAAGAUAUUAAAAUUAUAUAUUACAUAAUACAUGGUGUGAAUAUGAUUACAUUCAUUCAAGUUUGAUGCCAGAAGUCUUGACUUGCCCACAUGUUAUAAAUUAAGAAUGGUCCUUUCCUGAUCUUUGAUCUGUUCCUUUUUUUGUUUCUCUCAUAAAAUUUUCACGCAAAAUGAUUUCACUGUAAAACUGAGAACAAAACUUGUCAUGAUUCACAACUUUUUUCUUCAUCGUGAAAAUUUUAACUCAAUUGCAUUAAUAAGUUAAAUACAAAAAUCGUUUAACUGUAGGGAAACAACAAAAAAAAAAAAAAUGGAUCUUCUUUAGACACAUCCAACUAUACAUACAUUGGAUCCAAAAGCAGAAUCUUUUGAUUUGCCACUUAUCUAUGUUAUUUUUUAGUUAUAGGAUUUACAAUUUAUAUUUUAUGUUUAAGGAUGUGUUGUACAUUGCACAACAAAUUUUCUGUUUUAGUUUUGUUUAUUACAUACAUGUAAAAGUUAAGUUCUCUAGACUGUUGGUUUCUGAGGUAUGUAUUAAUCCGAUCCAUAAAAAGAGUGAUAAUUCAGCAACAUUAUUUGACGAACAAAAGAAAAUUCAGCAACGUUAUUUUUUGGGAGAUAAACACACUUUUAUUGCUGAAUUUUAGAUAGAACAAGCAUAUUUGUUAGCAUACUAAUUAUAGGGAAGAUGAGUAAGAUGUGAGGGCGUUGAGCUAAAUCAAAAAUCAAAAAUAGAAACUUGAAAAGAUAGUGAAGAAAAGAGGAGCUAUAGAAUGGAUUCCAUCUUUUGUGCAUGCACUGCCCCACAGGGAAAUUGGAAGGAGACAAGUGAUCAAUCACACGUCUCUUUCAGUGACUAACUUUUUUGCAUUCUUCACUUUCCUUAGAUUUCCUACUUCUACACACAUAUUGGGCUUACUUACAAUUUCAUUUGAUUAAAGUUUUGCUCUCAAUGUUAGAACUAAUAUAUAAAUAGAUUAAUGAAAGUCCUCAAUUUCUUUAGUUGAUAACAAAAAAAAAACAUGAAUAACUCAUUCUAUUUGUGGAAGCCCCCUUGGCCCAUUGGUUGAUCAAGGGUUAAUUAAUGCUUCUACAUCUAGAGGUCUGGGGUUCGAGUCCCAGAUACUGCGAUUUAUUAAUAUAUUUGCAGAUUAUUAGAGGCAAGUAUGCAUGAGAUCUCCAGCGAUGUACAAUUAUAGCCGUUCGCCAGGAUUCUACGCAGAGAGUGAAGUGUCCAUUAAGAGCAGGAAGAAGGAGGUGAAAUAGGUGAUCAUGAAAAAGGAGGUGAAAGAGGUGAUGUCUGUCGUGGAUCUAAUAAAGGUCGGAAGGAAUUGUCAGUUGUAGAAUCGUCUAUGUAACAGUUCUCAUAAUUUGCAAUAAAUAAUAAAUCUAGAAGAAAAAAGAAAAAAAAACUCUUUCUAUUUAAUAUGCUUUGUAAACAUUUAUUUUUAACACUGUACGCUAGUCUAAUUCCAAAAUCUGCAAUAACAAAAUCUCUGAUCGAUUCAUAUCUAAUUUAAAAAAAUUAUUGAUACUUUAUUUUGUUAAAAUUAUUGAUACGUUAUUUUGUAAUCUAAGAAAGUUUAACCAUGCACAAUGAACAAUUAUCCUCAAGUUUUUAUUUAUGUAUCCAUUUUUAUCAAUACAAAAUCUCAUCAUAAAAAAAAAAAAAAAAAUUUAGCAAAUCUCAUCGCAUUGGCAUUAAGAUAGAAAUGUGAAUAUUUUUUUUGAAUAUUUCCAUAUUUUGACUUGAAGCAUACUAAACCAGAGAUGUAACUGAAAAUUUUAGAGUAAGAUUUGUAUAUAAUAAGGUUAAUUGUAUAUUAUAGAAGAUUAGUUGUAUAUAAUAAAUAAGGUAAUCGUGGACUAGAAAUUUUGAUAAGAUAUCUCUGUCUGCAUCUUAAAAAAGGUGACUGAAAUUAAAUUAUGUUUAUUGAAGAAAAGGUUGGGGACUAUGACUGUGAGAGAUGGGACGGUUGCCAAAAAAGGGAAGAGAGCUAAUAAGAAAUUAGGGUUUAGUCAGGUUUCCAUGCUCGUAUAACUUCAUUACUCCGACUCUUUAAAGCUUUGCCUUUACCCUCUCCUCUAGCUAUCUAUCUAUUUAAUACCACCAUUAUUCAUACAUCCACUACUUUUACGUACACUUAAAUAUAUAAUCAUUUUUAUAUUUGUCAUGUAUAUCUCAAAAUAUGCCUUUUUUCUUGUCGUGUACUAAAUUAUUUUGUGCCUAAUUAGCAUGGCUUAGUCGAGUUAAUAUUUAAUGAUAACUAAUUCAUUAGCUACCGGUUAUGAUGAGACGAGCGUUUAGAUUUUUAUUUAUUUGAAUGCACCUAUCAUGGUUUUUGUUUUGGGUAUUAUAUGAUAUGAUAGUUUCGGUGUUCCAAAUUCAGAAUGUGGAAAUGUGUAAUCUAUCACAAAGUAAUUGACCGUUAUAGUGUUUUGUGGGUACAAAAUUAAUAAUGGACAUCAGGACAUAUGUAAUUUGAGCGUGGAAGAGAGGAUCAAUGGAUCAUGAGUAUAUUUGCAAGUCGUUUAGAUUGUUCCUAACGUACUUACGGUAUUUAGUUAAAAGACAAUAUAUAUAUAUAUAUAUAUAUAUAUAUAUAUAUAUAUAAUUCACCAACAAACAAAAUAGAUUACUGUAUGAUCGUUACUAAAUUAAAUCAUUUAUUUUUUAGAGCAACACAGAAUUUUUUACUAGGCUUUAGAUCGUGAAAUCAUCAACUUCACGAUCUAAUCAUCAACUUUAGAUCAUUAACAUCCUCCAUAAUCUCCAAGUAGUCCCACCGUCUAUCAUUUUCAAGGCUUUAGAUCGUGAAAUCAUCAACUCUAUCUACGCAAGGAGGCAUCGAAGGAAAUUCAGGAAAUUAAGGAGUCUUUGGCUCUGAUUUGAACUUCACCAAGUUAAAGAGAUUAGUUGUUUGCUUCCUUGUUUUUUAUUUUCUUUUUGCCAAAGAACCAAAAGUUAGGUAAUCAACAUGUAAAUCCAAACUUUUUUUAUUUUAUAUGAUAUUAACAAUUUAGCAAAAAAAAAAAAAAAAAAUUUCUUACUAGUGACUAGUUAUGUUCAUAAUGUAUAAUAAUUCAAUACUCUCUCUCAACUCUCAAGAAUACAAAUAAAUAUAAAGUAUUAAAUCAAUAUAUAAUUUACAUAGAGGCUUGAAAACAUUUUAUAAUAUAAACAAAAAAUCUCUAAAACAUCUUAUAUUAUGAAACGGAGGAGCCGUAAUAUUUGUUAUAACCGAGUCUGCUAAAUAAACAUUAUCAUUUUCCGUUUUUAUUGGUUAUAUAAAACUGUAGCACAUCAAAAAAAUCUCAAUUUUACAGAUAAGUGGAAUGCAACAUUUGUAAACUUCCUUGAGAGAUCUUUAUUCUUUACCUAAUUAGAAAAACAAGAAAUUCUAUAAUUUGAAAAAAAGAAAAAGUCAAAAGGAAAGUUCACCAAACCCACUUGAGUUUAAUAGAAACACACAAAGCUAAGAAGCAUCACAGUUCACAUCAAACGUAAAGAGGUCUCUACUCAUUCGCAGCUUCUACUCUUCCUUUUUCGGAAACCCUAUCGCUCUCUUUCCGAUUUGACUUGUCUUUAUUAUUAUUAGUUGUUGUUCCUAAUUAAUCACUUUCUCUUAUGUGUUUUCAAUAUAGCACUAGACAACAUAGCCUUUAGUUGAUCUUUCUCGUGCCAAUUUUGAUUCUCUUAUUCUAAAUUACUUCAUCUUCCGCUUCCAUUUAACGUUUUCCUUUAUGAAUUUCUUUUUGACUAACUUUUCUUGUCGACAGUUGUCGUCUCUUUCUCCUAUAUACUAAAUUUUUCAUUCCUUCAACGUUGUUGUGUAGGUAGUUUCUUCUAUCUAUUUGAAAGAUAAGUAAGAAAGCACCAAUAUUUCCUAACCUCCAUCGGUUGCCAUAAAUUUGAUUAUGCCCAAAUGAAAUCUGAAAAAAUAAUGUCUAUAUAUAGGUAAAAUGAAAUCUAAAAUUUCAUACAAAAAAAAUGAAAUCUAAAAACAAAUUGAGUGUCACAUGUUCUUGAUGACUGCUCUUAUGUCUUAUCUGAUUCCUUGCACAAUAGUCCUUUCUUCUCAAUUUGCAUCACAAUAUAAUAUCUUCAUUACACAUUUUGUUUUCCACCCUUCAAUUUGCAACAGUAUAUACAAUUUUUGUUUUGUUUUGUUUAAUAAAUAAAAUAAAAUAACAGUGUUUUGUAUGAUUGUAAUGUAACCCACUUUCAAACUACAAAAUUAAAAGAAGCAAGCCAUCGACUCACAUCUUCAUCAAAAGCAAAAUUCACGCUUCUCACAUUCUCUUUGUAUUCAUGAUUCCAUGCAUCGAUCUCAUAAAAAGGCAACUACGAAUUGUGGAGAAGGACAUCUGUCUUCGAUCCCUUAUUAUACAUCAAAUACUUAAAAAACAAAACAUAUCAUCCAUGAAAUAAGUUGCACUACCUCUUUUUCUACUUCUUUUUUUCCUUAUUUUAGUACCAUCUAGAUUCAGAUCAGGUUCUUGGCAAAAAUAUGAUUUAAGGCUUAAAAGAAUACAAAAUCGCGAUAAAAUCCACCAACAGUUUUUCCUCUACAGUAUGAUCGAUAAUGAGUUUGGAUUUGGUGUGUUGUGCAAAGAUGUUUUAAGUAAAGUGUUUUGCCCCUGAUGACUUUUAGAACCAAAAUGAUGACAAAACUGCAGAUUUAAAAACUACGAAAAAACUUUUAAAAUGAACUGAAUUUACUAGGGUAAAACAAAUAAACUUAGUUUUAACAUCAUUUUUAUGUACAUAUGUUCUUAAUACCAUGCUACAAAUCAUAUACUAAUCGUCCAUUUUGACCCUUUUUUCUUCAUCAUUGCAUCGCAUAGCCUUGCCGCGUCUACAUUAUCUCUAACAUUAUGAACUCUAAUGAUAGUAGCACCUUUUAAUAUCCCUGCAGUAACACAAGCAACAGUUGCAGGAUCUCUUUCACUUGCCUCAGGACGACCACAAAUAUCUCCCAAAAAUCUUUUCCUUGAGGGUCCUAUAAGUAUAGGUGCAUGAGACAAACCUAUACUCUUCUUACCCAUCUCUUCCCUGAUUUUUGGUAGCUCCAUGACAAUUUCUAAAUUAUGAGCUAUUCCCUUAGAAAAUCCAAUUCCUGGAUCAAUCAUAAUCCUCCAAGCUGGAAUCCCAGAGAGUUCUGCCUCUCUUACUCUCUCAUAAAGCUCCGAAGCAACAUCUUUGCAUAUAUCAUUAUACUCCAAAUUCUCUUUGUUUUGCAUUGUACAUGGAUCUCCUCUCAUGUGCAUGAUCAUAUAAGGAACAUCAGAAUCCGCAAUAACCAUAUGCAUGUUCGGGUCUAAACUUCCUCCAGAGACAUCAUUCAAAAUGUCAGCUCCAUUUCUUAUUGCUUCUAAAGCAACCUCAGAGUUAAAAGUGUCCACUGAUAUGAGCUUUCCUUUCAUCUCAGCCAUACCUCGAACAACUUUUAAAACCGGAAUUAGUCUAUCUAUCUCUUCUUGAGUAGAAAUUCUUGAGGCCAUUGGCCGCGUUGACUGUGCACCGAUAUCAAUAAUAUCGACACCUUCAGAGAUCAUCAAGCGGACUUGAGAAACCGCUGAAUCUAUAGAUUGAAACUUACCUCCAUCACUAAAGCUAUCAGGAGUAAGAUUAAGUAUACCCAUCACAUAAGUUUUCUUAGAAAAAUCCCAUAAAUCAUCUCCUAUUGGUACAACCCUUUGUAUACCGCCUUUUGCAAGCAAUGAUUCACCACCUAACCGCUCCCACGCUUGAAAAACUCCACCUGGAUGGAUUGAGAGUGAAUGCCAAUAUGAAACUAUAUGAUCAUUAUCAAUAUCUUCUGUUCCAAGCAAAUCUACCAAAGGUGCUAAUACAAAUGGUCUUUCCCAGAUUCUCUCAUGGGGAAUGAUGAGUUUAUCAGAAGUUAUUCUAUGCUUCCCAUAGAACAAUAUGUCCAAGUCAAGUGGUCUUGGUCCAUACCUUAAACCAUUCUCUUUACGACCCAUCUCUUUCUCAAUUUUCUUGAGAAUGUUCAAGAGUUCAUGAGGUUCGUGCUUUGUGGUACCUCUUAUUGCAGCAUUGAGAAAUCUUGGUUGGUUGGUCACAUGAACAGGUUCUGUUUCGUACAAACAACUAUGUCUUAUUACACAGAUCCCAUAGUCUUUCAUCAAUCGUAAAGCUUCUCUAAAAUUAUUCAUUCUGUUUCCAACAUUGCUUCCUAAAGCAAUCACUACUUCUUCUAAAGUUGUUGUUUCCAAAGAUGCGAAAUCUGAGUCAUAUACAAAAUAUGUUUCGAAGGUGAAAUAGGAUUCAAAAAAUUUAUACUUUUCUAAAUAAUUACUUAAACAUAGAUAGUGUAUCAAUAAUCAAAACGUAAACAAUGAAAAUGAAACGGAUGAAGAAGAUACGAACCCAUUUUAGAUUAUUAUAUUCUGUUCCGGCCCAAAUAACACUAUUAUUUGCUUCGAUCUGACCUGAAAGUAUACAAAACUAUGAGUUUAGUCCUUCUUUUUUUGUGUGCAAAAACUAUGAGUUUAGUCUUAGAUUAAAAAAAAAAACAAUUAUCAGAAACACAAAAUGGGUUCUAAUAUUUUAAGAAGAACCAAAGAAGUAAACAAUACUUUUUUAUGAGAGAGAUAAGAUGGUAGCCAAUUUUCACAUACUUUUUCUCUGAACUAGUUUUGUUAUUCGAGUACCUUGUGUCUUUCACGCUCGUCAAAAAUCAGCUUCUUUCGAAUUAGAUAUGAAGGUUUAGAAAAAAAAAGACAAAAAAGAGAAGAAAACUUUGUUAAAGAGAUUUUGAAAUUGGUAGUGAAUCUCUCAUAGUUGGGGUGAUGUAAAAAAGAGGGAUGUUACCAAUUAAAUACCAGUUCAUCUCCAUAGUAAACAAUUAUGAUCAGUUCAAUCUAACAAUGAAGAUUGAUGAAUUUGCUUAUUCCUCAUUUAUUUACAUUUUACUAUCUUUAGAUAAGUGUAAUAAUCUUUUACCAAGUGCACUCUUUCUAUUUGAUAAUGUGUAAUAAUCUUUUACCAAGUGCACUCUUUCUAUUUGACAAGUGUCAUACGUUGAUAUUUUAAUUAUUAUUUUUGUCUUUUUUAUAUGAUUUAUUCUGUAUUAUGACUUGAUAAUUGAUCAUAUCAUCUAAUUAACUCUUAUUGUUCAAAAAGUUUCUAUUUAAAAUUUCCUACUUUGAUAUUUUAAUAUCUCUUCUUAUCUCUUUCAUAUGAUUUUUUUCUAUUUAAUGACUUGAUAUAAUCUAAAUAUAUUUAGUUUUCCCACAUCUAAAUGUAUUUAGUUUUCCUAUUUUUCUAUAGUUGUUUUCUUAUAUCAAUUUUGUAUUCAGAAAAUUUUCUUUUCAUUAAUUUUAUUAUCUAUUCCAUUUUUUUUACUAUUUAAAUAUAUAUUUGGAUAGAUGAUGGAAAAAUGUGUGUUACAGUCCAAUUAUUUAAUUUCCACCUUUAAAACCACAUCAUUUUUUUGUUCGUCAACCACAUCAAAUUUUUCAUUUAUAAAGUUUAUUGAAUUUUUUUGUGACUACAUCAAUAUUCUUGCAUACCAAAUUACCGAUAGUCGAUUCAACUGUUCUGUUUUUUUUUUUUGUUAUCAUAACUCGAAACAAUAUUAUUUUCAUUUAUUUAGCAAAAAAAUAGCCGUUUUACUUUUACCAUAACAUUAUUCUUCUCGUGUUAGAAUUUGUAUUAAGUUUCUCAUCACACCAGAUGUAUAUGAUUUCAAUGAAUGGUAAGUUUUCGUGGCUUUGUUGGAAGCCAAUUAACUUCACAACGAACAAAAUUUAUCCUUGCAGUAAUUUUUAUAUAGCAAACGAUUUCACGAAAAACUACACAACAAUGCAAUUCUACCUACACUUAAAAAAAAUAUGUACUAUAGAAUAUAGAUUAUUCUAAAUGCACUAUGCUUACGGUAUAUAUAUAUUUUUUUAUGUAUCACUAAAAGUGUAAAACUAUCAUAUUUUUCUUACUGAUCACAAAGAAGAAAAAUGAGCCGUAAAUAAAUUUAGUAAAGAAGAGUAUGGACAUCUUGACGUUUUCACAUUUACAACAUAGAACGCGUGCCGUUUUGUUAAAGCGCUAAACCUCUCCCUCAUCCUCUCCCAGCUAGCUCUCCUCUUGCGGUUUCAGAGCUUAAACCCCAAUCUCCCUCAAACUCAUAAACUUAUUGCUCUCCUGUGUUGAUUUCUGGGUUUAGGCUUCUUUCGACUUUAUGGGUUUCGGAGCUUAGUUUCAGUACAAUUUCGUUUCGAAAAGAGCUCUUAUUUGAUGUCCAUGGCGUCUCUCUCCUUCACCCAAUUCUUAUCAUUUCCCAGGUCCCUUUGCUUCUAUCGCUCUUGUUUUCUUCCAUGGGUUUCUAUGGAUUUGGCGUAGAACUACUUUGCUGCCCAGAAAUGUGCGAAUGCUUUUCUUAUCUUUCUACAGAAGAAUGAGUAACAAUGAUUUGAAUUGAGUGCUUUUUUUCGCUGAUUUGUAUCCACUUUCUUGUUCAAUUUAGUGGAAAGCCAUGUUAUUUCUGUUUGAAAAUUCCACAUUUUGAUGUCAUGGUUUUCUCAUAGCUGUGCUUAAUUUUGGCAGAUGCAAUGCAGAUGUUCCUUGUCUGCUCCAGUCGCUGGGUUUUGUGAAGUUUAGAGGUGAAAGAUGGAAUGGGAAACAAAGCUUUCCUAUGGCUGCUGGUAGGAGAAAGCUAUCAGAGUCAGCCCCUCUUGAAGACGAAGGCAAUGAUGGAAACGGGGCGGUUGGGGGGAAGAAACCAUCGAAAAGUGUUAGGAGAGGUGGUGCUCGAACAACGAAGAAGAAGGUGGUAGCAACUGAUGAACCAUUAGAAGAAAGUUCUCAACUUUUGGUAGAUAGUGAUGGUGUUUUAGACAAGGAAAGCACUGUUUCAGCUUUGAAACCAAAGACAAGAACUAGAAAGAAAGGUAAUGACUUUACCAUUUCUGAGAUGAUUGGUCCUCACUUGAUGAUUCACUAGUGCAUAAUUUGAAUUCUACAUAUUUACAGCUGCAGCAGCUUCUUCUGAUGUGGAGGAAGUAAAAACCGAGAAGAAAGUGAGACGAAAGAGGACUGUUAAGAAAGAUAAAGAAAUGGAGGAUGAUUUAGCUACUAGUACUCAUGACGAGGUUAGUGAUGUCGAGGAAGCCUUGGCUGUUGAAAGCACUGAUACCGAGAGUGAAGAAGAAGAGAUUGAUCUGAGUAAACAUGACAGUGAAGAUAUUAGUCACACUUAUGGAUGGCCUCCUCUUGUGUGUUGCUUUGGAUCUGCACAACAUGCUUUUGUGCCCUCGGGAAGGCCAGCUAACAGGCUAUUAGAUUAUGAACUACACAAACGGAUGAGCGAUGCAAAGUGGGCCCCGGAGAAGUAUAUCCGGGCUCCUGGAGGAUGUGCAGGAGGUGUUGCUAUUGCUCUUGCAAGCUUGGGUGGUAAGGUUGCUUUUAUGGGCAAACUCGGGGAUGAUGACUAUGGUCAAGCCAUGUUGUAUUACCUGAAUGUGUGCAAAGUCCAAACUAGAUCAGUUAAGAUUGAUGGUAAAAGGGUUACGGCAUGUUCUACUAUGAAGAUCAGCAAGAGAGGUCGCUUGAAAUCGACUUGUAUCAAGCCCUGUGCAGAGGAUUCACUUUCAAAAUCUGAAAUCAACGUUGAUGUGCUCAAAGAGGUAAAUAUUGUCUUGGAGAUUUGGAACAUUGAGUUUUUUACUCUUUUUCUUGUUCACCAAUCUCUUAACUUUGAUGCAGGCGAAAUUGUUCUACUUCAGCACGCAUUCUCUACUCGAUAAGAAGAUGAUGUCGACUACGAUACAAGCCAUCAAGAUAUCAAAGCAACUAGGCACUGUCAUUUUUUAUGACUUGAAUCUCCCUUUACCACUAUGGCAGUCCAGCGAAGAAACCAAGUCUUUCAUACAGGAAGUGUGGGAUCUUGCAGACAUAAUUGAAAUCACAAAACAGGAACUUGAAUUCUUAUGCGGAAUCGAGCCAACUGAAGAGUUCGAUACAGAAAACAAUGACAUCAGUAAGUUUGUCCAUUAUCCGCCAGAAACUGUGGAACAGCUUUGGCAUGAAAAUCUCAAGGUCUUGUUUGUGACCAAUGGCACUUCUAAGAUCCAUUACUAUACCAAAGAGCACAAUGGUGCUGUUUCUGGAAUGGAGGAUGCUCCCAUUACUCCUUUUACAAGGGAUAUGUCAGCAUCUGGAGAUGGCAUCGUUGCAGGUACACUUUUCGCUGUCUUUUUUUUGUUUCUCAUAGCAAUUGGAAAGUUAUGCUGGUGUUAACUGAACUACAUUACUCUCUAUUUCAGGUCUAAUAAGAAUGCUUACGGUUCAGCCAGAUCUUAUGAACAAUAAAGGGUACCUGGAACGAACAGCAAGAUAUGCAAUUGAGUGUGGUGUUGUUGAUCAAUGGUUGCAGGCACAAACCCGAGGAUAUCCUCCAAAGGAUGACAUGGAAGAAGAAGAUGAUGAUGAAGAAGAUGAAGUGGAAUCAGAUCCAAACGGUAUAAGAUCGAUAACAGAGAGGGAAUACCAAACCUCAAAGCCUUAUGAUGAACCAGAUGGUCCAUACGUUAUGAAACCAGUAGAGGAAAGGGAAUACAAGAAGUUAGAGCUUGUUGGCUCAAUGUUUGAAGAUGGUAGUUUAUGAUUUUCAUAAGAACUGAUAUUAUUUCUGUUAGUCAGCUUUUUUCCCUGUUCGCAUCUUACAACAUCUUAGUAGUGUGAAUUUUUGUCAUAUGUUUUAAUAUCUAGACCAUUAUAUUAAACACAACCUAGUGUACACUAGUGAGCUUAGAGAAGAUAUGUCUAACGGGAUAGAGAAAUGAUCCAAAAACAGCAAUGUGAAACCCUUAGAGACAAUGAACUUCCUUUACUAGCAACUCUACUUCUACGUCUACUUAACUAAUCCAAGUAGAGAUUUAUCUUCUUGUGAUCUGUGAAAGGCAGUGUGAUUCUCAAGUCCUUUUGUUUCCGGCUUAACGGUCUGCCUUUGCUUUCGGGAUCUCUGUUCUCCUUCACAUCUGCUAAUUUCCAGACACAGUUAUCCGAUUCUGCAUCGAUAGACUCCAAGAGAAACACUGCAGUUUUCACUACUUUCCUUGAGUUGGUUUUCUCUACAUAGCUUACUGUCAUUGGCAUCUCCUUAAAUCGAGGCAAGUCCUCUGGAACUCUCAGCAGCCUCUCAGCUCCUGGAGAUGACACCUUUACAGAAAAAAACAACACGGACACAAGAUUUAGAACAAAUUGACCCUGAGUGGUCGUUGAUUCAUGGAGAAAGACUCUUUUUACCUCAAGGGCUAGAUCCUCUGGGAUUACUUUUUCAGCCCCAGCAUCAUCUAGUCUUUUCUUAAAUUCCCGACUAAAUUCCUCAAGCUUAUCCAUGGUAGGACAUCCAUAUCUUUGUACAAGGAAAAACAAGAAGCUUUCUUUAGUUUCUGAAACAUACUGCUUUCGCAAUGGUUUGAUAUAGAAGGGUGAAGAAUCUUACUCAUUUGAGAGUUUGUCUAGUCUGACAUAUAUAUAUCCACGAGGUGAAGUUUUGAAAGCAAACAAUUCCAACUCUUCCUCAGACUGUUUCAAAACUUCUGCAGCAAUAGAGAGAACUUUUUCACCCCAUGGCACAUCUCGAAGAACAAUUCCACCACCAUCUCCUCCAUCACCAAGCUGUAAAACAGAAGAAAGAUUAGCUUAAAAGAAUCGAAGAAUCAGAGUAGCGAAGUGAUGAGAAAAUGUAGGAGAACUAUACAUAAGAUUCAACUUCCUCAUCUUCUUCUUCUUCCCAAUCUUCUAUGACCUCAACAUCAUCAGUUGUUUUAUCUGCCAAUUGGAUUGGAAGCAAAUGUGUUAUGAGACCAACAGUAUCUUAUGACCUUUAGGAAAUACCAGCUUCUAUGGACAAGAAAAGACAGUUUCUAACUUAGAACAUACAAAAAGUGUGUUACAUGAGACCAAACGUUUCUGACUUGUCAGGAAACUCUUAAGGGGCAUUUACAUAACUCAACUGCGAAAACAUUAAAAUUCUAAGGUGAAGCAACCGUUUGGCUAAAAGUGAGCAACAUUAAAUUUUAUAAGCAGGAGACAUUUUAACAAACACCUUAUAGACACGAAAAAGACCUAAACAAAUUCUAAACCCAGAAGAUAGAGAGGCAGUCAAAGAAGACAAGGUUGAUUUAUUUUAUCUUACAUUCAAAAGUGUCUUCUUCGCCGCCAUUACUACCGGCGGAUUUUGGCGGUCGAACUGAAGGAGAAGGAGAAGAAGACGAAGAAGAAAACCUAGAGAUUGAAGAAGAGAAAGGAAAAUAGCGAGGAGGAGUCGUCUUUGGAAGUAGUAAGGAAGAAGAAAAUUGCCUAACGGAGAACCAAGUCGCCGGUGAGGUUAAACGGCGAGAAGCUCGAAACAAAGCAGAGAGACUUUGGUAUCUCACCAUGCUUCUUCGAAUUACCCACAGGACACGACUUGUAAUAAUAUUUAUUCAACCUAAGGAAUUCUAUUUAUACGAGUGUUAUAAAAUCCGUUUCUUACAUUCAAUCUUCUAGCAAUUGUGCUAAGAGGAUACAAAAUUGAUUGGUUUUUAAAAAAACGUUUAGGAAAAAUAAAGAUGUACUUGUCGAGCCAACCUAUACUAUACUAAUACAAGAGUAGCAACAGAUAUGAACAUAGAAAUACUUAGAGGCGGAGAAUAGUGCGAAGAGUAUCGCAUAGAUUUUGAAUGGUUUGCUGCUCCUGCGUUGCUUGCAAUUCCUGCAGCGGCAUUUCCUCGUAACACCUGCAAUCAGCAGAAUGGGUUUUUAGGUUUCUAGUCCUGACAUUUAAACAAAACAAAAACAUUUGCUAUUAUCUCCCACGUACGCUCUGUGGUAUGCUAAAACUUGUGCAAGGUUCAUUAGAGAAGAGCUUGUAGUCAGUCUUUGGUAUACGCUUGGAGGAAGAGGCAUCUGCAGAAUAUAUUUCAUACCCCCACAGAUUAUUAUAAAAUUAUGAUUCAUUCACGUUAUAUAGAGUUCAGAGAGAGAGAGAGAGAGAGAGAGAGAGAGAGAGAGAGUUUCGACCUCGUUUUGUCCACGUCGACCCUUUUUGGAUUGGGGAUCAGAAGUGAAGAGCUCCUGAAGUGCUUCAACGGCUACAGUUCCAUUCCCAUCUUGUUGCAUGCCUCCGAUCAUGUUCUCUGACAAGAGUGCAAUUGGGGAUAUAUCUGUUGCUCUCAAGAAUGGUAUUGGUACUGUGUUUCCAGCUGCGUAGAUUGACCAUAACUGCAGGAAAGUAGACACAUUUUAACCCAAACACGCCAUUGACUAGACUGUCGCACAGACACAGCACAAAACUAACUAACCUUAUCUUGCAAAGCAAAAGCUUUCCUGCCAACAGUUUCAUUUUUCAAGGUACUACCACUUGCAUCACUGCCACCUUCAAUCUGUGUUCCAGCUAUGUUAUUUAGCUUGGUUCUAUGCUCAUGAGACGAACUGGCCUGGAUGCUCUGUGAAGUCGAAGCUUCAAUUGGAAGAUCGAUACCCGGAGGAUUCUUUUUGUCAUGUAUCCUAGAAACCAAUAUCAGGUUAAAUUAUGCUCAAGAAGCAAGUUCAUCAUCAGAUCCUGAUUGUUAUAUAUCCAUGUAACUUUCUUUUCAAUAAAUUGGAUGAUCUGAAGGAAAAUUUAAGCGCCUAUUUAUGUAAGUAGAUAUGCCCCCGAUAAAGUAAAAAAAAAAGGAUUACAAAGAUAAAAUACCAUGAGUCAGGUAAUUCUUCUCCGGAGACUUCGCGAGAAACACCUUCAACCUGAGAAGAUGAAGAUUCUUCUUUCUCUUUGACAAGUUGAGACCUGGAGUCACUCUCCUCUGCCUCAUCCUCACCAUGAACGAUCAUAGUUCCAAAGUCACCACCUGAUCACAUGAACCAGUGGAAACAUUAAGUUACAUGCUUUUGAAACCAUGAAGGGAGAAAACUCACAACAGCUUGGAUGCUAAAAAAGCUGCUGAAUAAAUCAUCAAAACAUCAUCCCCUAGAGUUUACUAUACAUCUCCAAGAAAAUGCACUCAACAAUUCUCAUGAUGGUUCGGAAAUGCAGAUUGCCAACUUGUAAAUUACUACAUAACAGGCUGAGGUUCACAGCACAUGUUUAGAGAAGCAUACUGAUUAGUCAACAACAACACACCAUUUGGUUGAAUUCCUUAUGUGGAAGUAUGCAAUAUGGACAUAGAUACGCAUGCAUAUAAUACUUGCCUUCUCCAGCCAACACAGUGUUGCCAGUUAUAUGCUGCCGAUUCAGGGUGCCAGUUAGAGGUGCUUCGGUGGAAUUUUGAGGAGGUUUAGCUGGAACAGUAAUUCCUACCUCUUCAUUUGAUUUUGGACCCAGUGUUGACUGUUACAAGAUUAGAUAUUAGGAAAGAAGAUGGGGGUAACUAAGAGAGGGGUAACCGUUUCAGAAAAACAAUACAUACAGUGUCCUCCGAAGAAGGUGCGACAACACUUUGCGCUUGCAAAGCCAUUACAGCUCUGAUUUGUCUGGACUUCUCAAUCUUUGGCGACAUUGCGGAAGCCCCAGUUUUACAUCUCUCAACAAAUUUGUGCUGAAUUUAAAACCAAAGAGUAAAUGGCAUCAGCAGAACACAGAGAACUUAAACACUAAAUUGCAUGCCAGUUAUGAAAUUGAUGGUAAUUCUGACAACUAAAGCUGAAGACAUCCUAAUAUUGACAAGACAGAGUCACAGUUAGCUGAAAAGAAAGAAAAAUGGAAGGAAAAAAGAGCGCAUUGAGAUACACAUACUAACGAUCUCUGGCGAACAGGCAAAAGACUAUCAUAGUUUACCUUAAGCAUCUCAGCUGCAGUUGGGCGAAGACGUGGUUCCUUUGUAAGGCACUUUGCAACAAAAUCAUGAAAGACCAGGGACCUGCAGAAAGUAGCAACCAACAGUCGAAUGUUGCAUAAGAUAUUGCCAAGACCUCUUUAACGAGAAUUGCAUUACUAUGAUUCAGAGCGCUUGUAGGUCAAUGCUUUUGUAUAAAAGUAUGCUGCUAACCACAUAUAUAAGUUUUCUUUGCCAAUGCUAGAAAAAUUAUUAGACCCAUGAGAAAAAUCGUUCUGAAGCUAAUAAUAGACCAUCAAUCGAUAAAGCACUGUAUAUAUUGUGGAUAUGCAAUUACUACAGCACCUGUGGACCCAUACGUCUAUGAAGCGACUACAAGGAACUAUACUUUUCACAAUAUAAGGUGCUGAUUGCGCUUGGAUGAUUUGGAAAAUUCUCUUCUGCCUUAAUGAUAAUCGUCGUGACAAUUCUAAAGAGGUUGAAGACAUACCAUUUUUCUUUAUCCUCGAGCAUUGGAGCUGGCUCGAUGGAUAUCAUGAAUAAAACCUAACAAAGACAGAUGUUUGAAAUGAGAUAUUAAAUAACGACAAUAGCAUGAUAAGAUUAGUGGCCAUCAAGUAAGCAAACAAGCAAAAGUUUCUCUCUCUUACGUAGUAUUCAACACUAACCAAUCAAGAGAAGGCCUUUUAAGAGUAUUUCAAGACCUCCAUUUUCUAGCCUAAUAACUCUCAUGUUUAUGAAAAAUUUCAUACCAGGUCUAUACAAAUUUCAUUCCAUUUCAAUUUAUAGGACAAACUUAACAACAGCAAGCUGCUUUGAGAUUGGUUUAUAACAGACCUAACCAAACCACUUACAACCAAAGUUAAUAAAUGGUUCGAGCCAACCACAUUUACAGAAACUCUUGAAACGAAGCCAAACUCGCACUGAUGUGCAACAAAUUGUUUUAGGUUUGGCUUCAAGUCAUUCCUUUCAAUUUUCCAAGCAGAGAAAAAAAACAAAACCAUUAAAAAGGGCGAGACUGUAUAGUUUGCCCAUCCUAAACUCAGCAAGGUAUCUGAUCACUUGGAAACAUAAUUAAAAAGCAAGAUGGCUUAAUAUAAAUAUACCAACCCUCAUCGGAUGAACUGCUGAUCUUGGAGGAAGCCCCUGUAAACAACACAACCAAAAGUCAGAAGAAAACCACAGAAUUAUUAAGAAUAAAAUAAGGAAGAAGCGAGUUAAGUGACAAGGGGUCAAAAGUGUUAAUCAAAAUGUACAAUUUUCUUCUUUUUUCCACAACAUGUCAGGCGAGACUCAGUACAGCUAACAGGACAAUCAGCUCUCAAAACAGUCACUAACUUAGCUUGCUUGCACAAUUGUCGGAUAAAAAGUACUAAACUGUCACCUAAGAGAAGUAGUCCCAUAUUACCUCUGCCAUCUCGAUAGCUGAAACACCAAGAGCCCAUACAUCCACCUGUAUUAAAGAGUCAAAAUGUCAUCAAGUUGUAAACAGGAAAAUCCUUAAUUCUACUCUCUAGAAAACUUCGCAGUCUUAGUUUCUAACUGGCUUAUGUACCAGAUUCUAAUUUCCUCUAAAAGUAGCAUCCUGUGAACUGGUAUGCAAACCCAUUUUUAGUAAAACCUUAAUUACUUUCUUCAAGAGAUAUAAUAUUAGAUUUAGUAGACGUGAAAAUUUAAACUCCAGCAAUUAACAUUUAGAUAUGAAAGGGACCACUAAAUCAGUCCAUAAAAUGUGAAGUUUUUUAAAUUAAUCGAAAAACUUGAAGGAGUUUAUCAGACAAUUUACUGUCAAAUAGGACACCUACCUUCCCAUCAUAACGAUUUUCCUGAAUAACCUCCGGGGCCAUCCAAUGUGGAGUCCCAAUGAACUUCAAACAAGACAAAACAUUAAAGAAUCCACCAUCAGGCGCAGAAAGUCUCUAAGGCUUUAAUAGCCCGACUGAUCAAAGAAAGCUUGAAGCAUUAACCAUAGGAACUUUAUUCAAAUAUGUAUUUACCGUGUUUCGCUUCGACAUAGUCCGCGUAAGUUGAGCUGCAACCCCAAAAUCACCUGAAAAGAUAAGGUAGCGAACUUUGGAAUCAGCAUGCAGCUGUAAAGCAAUAAAUAAAAAUUCUAAUUAAAAACCGAUAAGGCUAAGGAAGAUUCUAAGCUUUAAAACAUAAAAGCCUGCAUGUGUAAUAAAAAUAACAUAAGUAAAGGCAACUCUUCAAACAGGUGGUUAUAUAAUUCCCCAAGCUAACUUACCCAACUUGACCUCUCCUUGUUCAGUUAACAAGAUAUUACCACCUUUAAUGUCUCUAUGGACUUUAUAUAUUGAGUGCAAGUAUGCAAGGCCCUACAAAAUAGAUACAAACAGAAGUAUAAGGCCUAAAACAUGUUGAAGCAAAUGAGCGCAAGCAAAGACGGAACCAUCAAAUACAGGAGAGCAGACAUCAUUUUUCUUCUUCAUGCUUCUAGCCAUUCUAUAAAGUGAAAAAGGUACAGACAAUUGUGUGCAUACCUUCAACGCCUCCCGGCAUAUAUAUGCUAUCUGAUACUCCUCCAACGCCUCCUCGGUAACAUUCAUAAGAUCAGCAACACUUCCACCUCCACAAUACUCCAUCACUAUCUGUCAGAAGACAUAAAUUAAUAACUAGAGAGAGCGAAUACAUAAACUAUAAUAUAUAAACGAAGAAAAAAAAACUGAUUCCAAAUAGUAAGAGCUCCUAUAUACAACAAAGAUAACCAAGCUGAGGCCCAGAUGCUCACCCAAAGAUAAUCUUCUCCUUGGUAACUCCCAAGGUAGCGGACAACAUUUGGAUGGUUACACUGCUGCAGCAUCUCAAUUUCUCCCCGGAUCUCUUCAUAUCCCUCCUCCUGAUAAAAGUAGAACUUGAAUCACAUAGAGUGCUUUAGCAACUAUGACAUUUUAACUUAUGCUGAGGACAAGCUUUUAAUACCCCUUCAGUAAGUGAUAUGACUUUAACAGCAACAAUCUCCGAUGUUUUCAAAUCUCUUGCCUUGUAUACAGAUCCAUAUGAUCCUUUCCCUGCCAAUCCAGAUGCCAGAUUUGAUAUAGUAAGCAAAAAUUGGAACAAGCACUGAGGGAUAUUGAUAGCUGAUCAUGAUCAUAGCAACAUAAUGGAGCAAAUCCGAUAGAGACAAACACCAAAUUAACUCUAUGAAGCUAGAUAUGCUAAUUUACCAAGUUCAUUGAGGAAUUCGUAUUUGGUGGUUGGAUCUUCUCUAGUAAUGCUAUCCGGAAGAGACGUAGUCGACAUCUUACUGUUCUGCUGCUGCAUUUUCCGAUUAUCUUCACCUUGAAGCUUCGAAGAAGAAGAGGAAGGAUCCAAUUUCCGAGUCUUACCACCAAAAUUUGAUUUCUGCAUACUCGCAACAGCUCUUCCCAUAGUUGACAUAUCAAUCUCCUUCUCUUUAUUCUUUCCCUUUUUAGACGAAGAUUUCACAACAAACGUACCGUACUCUCCGUCAUCAUCAUCAUCUUCUUCUUCUUCGUCUUCCUCAUCGGAAGAUUCCUCAUCUCCACCUCUCGCUCUCCUCCUAGGACUAACUCCCAUACGCGGUUUGGAAGAGUACGGACUGUUCUUACUAUGACUACUCCGAUCUGUUUUCACAAUCAUCGUGCCGAAAUCUCCGGUUUCGUCACCGUCGUCGUCGUCGUAAUCGAGCGACGCGCCGCCUCCGAAAUCUUUGGGAAGACGCUUGAGAAGAGGAGGAAGCAUAGAAUCGUCUUCAUCAUCUUCCUCUCCUUCUCCGUCACUAUCACCUUUGUAAACCAUUGUAGCGUAUAAAUCGACAUUUUCGUCUUCCUCAGGUUUGGCUUUACGUUUAUCUCGAUUUCGACCUUGAUCAGAAUCGGAGUCGGAGUGGACUACGAAAGUGGAGUAUAUGUCGGAUUUGGGCUCCGGUUUCCGGCUCCGACGAGAUCUCGGCGAGUUAUGAUCCAUCUAUGGCGGCUCUAACCGUCGUCGCCGGGAGAGAGAAAAAGAGAGUCAGGCAGACUACUUCUCGUCGUUAAAAUUAAUGAUGAACAAAAAAAUCAUUAAAAAAAAGGAAUGGGCCAACUAAAUUUUUUUGCAAGCUGGAAUAUUAAUUUAAUUCUAUGUUUGUCUAUGCACCCUCUAAACAUUAGUGUUUCUUGCAUAAUUAUUUGUUACAGUAAAUAUAUAUUGGUGUAAAAAAAUAAAUAAUGGUUAUAAAGUACGACAAAAAGUUGCAGAAGAUAGAGAAAAAAAAAGAUAACGGUAUAUUCCGUUGAAGAAAAAAAAAUGGUAUAUUCCGUUUUGACCUUACCGUUUUACCGAUUACCAAUUAAAGUGUUCAAUUGCGGAAAUGGGAUACAAGAUUGUUCUUAUUCGUUUUUCUUUAACAUUUAUUUGAGGUUUUUAUGAAUCGAAACGUGAAAAAAAUAGUAGAAAUCUAGAGAGAAUGUUAUUGUUUGAAAGACGAGAAUACAACAAUUGAAUCACAUAGAAAUUUAGAGAUUAUACAGAUUUUAUAUUCUGCUAGGGACCAAGAGGCAAGAGGUUCCACGAAAAUGAUACAAGGGUGACUUGGGAUAAAGAAGAUAGAGUGACCAAGUUUGCCUCAAAUAGCUAGUUGCUACCACCACCAAAGAGGUAAUUCAGAGACGAGCCACCUCCUGGAGCUGAGUGAACUUUGGUCGAUGGCCGGUCCUGCACAACAACCACAAGAUGUUUUCGUAACUGUACCAUAACUUUUAGACAUUUGAUUACUUUGUUAGCGCACAAAAAAACAAAACAAAGCUUCAUUGUCAGCCAACUAAUCUAAAAAAAGUAAGACGCAGAUUUUUUUGCUAUCCGAUAACCAGCACACAGAACCCGAUUCAUUGAAAGAAGGAGACAUACCGUAAUGAAGUUGCCUGUGUUCUGUCCUUCUGCACGCAUGUAAUUAUUUGUAGAGUUGCUAUUGAGACCAGCAGGAACUUGUUUGAUGCUAUCAACAGCCUUUGGAGCAGCAGUUUGAAGAGGUGGAGCAGGAGCAGAAGACUGGGUUUCGGCUGGAGCUUUGUUAACGGUUGAUGGCUUUGGAGCCUCUCCGCUCCCAAAAAGAUAUCCCAAAGAACUCUGCCCUCCACCGGCACUAACUCCACGACCCAUUCUAUCUCUCUUGCUUCUCUCAAAGAUUCUUUAGCUUUUGGGUUCAAAAAUAUGAUAAAAUCUUGAAUCAGAAUCAUAUUUUACACAAAAACAUUAUCCACUAAACGAUAUGAAACAACAAAAAAGAAUAGUGGAGUGAUCACUCAAUUAAUCAUAAUUUGUUUGUGAAAGCUUCUGUUAAAAAACAUUCACAUCUACAACGCAACAAAACCAAAAUAUGAAUUAAGACUUGAGAGUCAUUAACAACUUAUCAUCACCAAUAUAAUAACAUCAUUGAAAAGACUUGCCAGAUGAAUUUUGAACCACACUAUCUUCAUCUUACCCUAACAAAAGCAAUUGCUCAAUAACCUAGCUAGAGGCUAGAGUAUACAAACAUUCUUUCAUACAUCAAUCAAAUUCUGCAUAUCCGAACCUAUCCGUUGAUGCAAUGCUAUAUAUGAACACAACAUGUCAACAUACAGAGAAAAAAAACAACAAAUGAAAAAAACUUCUCAAACAAACACCUAAGUCGAGAAGGAAACAACACAAAACACCAAUCAAGUUUACCUGAUCAGCAAGGUGAUUUGAGAAGAAGCCAAGAAGAAGAGCCAAUGAGAGAUAACAAGAAGCCUGUGAAUUGUGAUAUAUAUAUACUAAAUAAAGGUGACGGAAAAUAGUAAGGUAAUGCUUAUCUGGCACGUCAUUAUCCAACAGAACAACAAUCACUGUAUAAGCCGGUGUCGUUUUGUAACUUUAAACCUUUUUCUAGUGUAAUCCAAAAAUUAACUUAGCUUUCUUCCUAAUCUUUUUGCAUUAGUGAUUCAAAACUUUUAUAAAGCAUUACUGUUUGAUAAAACUGUUACAAAUUAUAAAAAAACGGACCCAUUCUCAAAUGUGUUUUUGUUCAUAUCUCUCCAAAAAAAAAAAAAACAAAUCCGACAAUCUCUAACUUUAUGUUUACAGGAUCCUAUGUCCGGUUCGGUUUACAUAACCGGUAACAUUGAUCAAGAAGAUUUCUUGGGAGGUAAUUGAGAAAUCUCGACGAGUAUUCGGUUCAAAGACUGAGGACGAGAGAAGAAUGGUGCAUGAUCAGAGCCCUUGAGAUUGAAAACUUGUUCAGGAGGAUUCGAUUUGAUCAUUGCAUCUUGUAGAGAAACCGGUACAGCGUAAUCAUCCUCCAUGGUUUUGAUGUAGAACCGUCGGAUUGAACCGUAGUUUUUCUCCGACACGUGAAGCUUUUCGACCACUGGCGCGAACGGGAUCGGUCUCAUGGAUACCGACGCUAAUGCAACGUCCUGUACCAAAAAAAGACAAGUCGGGUUUAGUUAAACCGAAUUGUACCGGUUCAGCUAUUUAUUAGCCUUAUGUGUAGUGUACCUUUGGAGGGCUCUGAUUAAAGAAAAAGUCUCUAAGCAAAGAUCUGUCGAAAUCAACGGCUGUUGGAGGGUUCUUUUUUCCGUUGGCGUACAGAAAUAGAUGGACUUGUUCCAUCAGAUCAUAAUUUGAGUCAGGCUGCAAAUCAAAUGGUUGCAAUUAGAUUUUAAAAAUUUUUGGUGCUUAGUUAAUUUUAACAAGAUAUUGUGUAAAAUAAUUUGUUAUCUUAUCAUUUUGGCAAAUAAAUGCCAAAAUUAGGCUACUUAGUGCAUAAACUCUUUAAAAAAUAGAAACAAAUGUUUUGGAGAAAAAAGAAAAAGAAAAAACCUGUUGGUUAAAGAGAUCAAGAGUGCUUUGGGCAUUAGCCAACAUAGCAGCAGAGAUGAAGAUAGCCUUCGAGAUCUUAGAAGGGUACAUCUCCAUGGCAUAAGACAUACAAGCACCUCCAAAAUCAUGCCCCACUAAUAUCACCUGCUCACACCCAUCAAUUUAUAUCUUAAAUUUGUUAGUAAAUUACCAUUUUUAGUGUUAUUGAGACCAAAAAAAAAAAACAUUAUGAUAAGAUGAAAGUGAGACCUUCUCGGUGGGUUUAAGGGUGUCGAAGAAGUGGAGGAGGGGUUUGACGUAUUGAGAGAGGCUAGUGAUGUUGUUUGUAUCGAAAGAGCUGACACCAGAACCGGUCAAGUCAACGGCAUCGACUUGGAAACCAUGUUUCUCUAAGAGCGUUAUGGUUUUGUACCAACACCAUGCACCAAACCCUCCUCCAUGAACCAGGACGAACCGCUUCGUCUCCGCACCUUCCACCUUUAGCUCCUGCUUCCAUCCAUUUAUAUCAUAGUAUCAUAUAAUGAUUAAUGAGUCUCAAUAGCGAAUUUGGCUAAAACAAAUUAAAAGAUUAACACAAAUAUGUUUAUGUAAUCAUCCAUGUGUAACAAGUGAUUGUUCUCACAAAAACAUUUAACAAAAAUGUCGUUUUAUAUAUUUUUCAUUCAAUGUUUUUGGUUAUUCACUUCAAUUCCUCAAAUGAAUCUAUAGGAACUAGCCGGUUCAAUUUUUACCGGUUUGAACAGUUCGAUGAAUCUAGGGGUGUAUCAUGUAACGGAGCCAAAUAAAUGGACAAUAUAAAAGUACUUGCCUUGUCUAGGAGCUGAUUGGGUUUAAGAACAGGAUCGGUGCUUGAUCUCUGCCUAUUACUAGAACUUCUAACGUAUCCAUAAGUGGAUUUCUUAGGAGUCAAGGCGCCGGAAACAGAACCUACGGAGGCGGCUACAGCGGCAGGAGGUGGCUGAGUGUAAACGACGGAGGUGGAGCGUCGGAAAGGAGGAGCAGAGUUGCUGUUACGAGGCGUUUGACUAAAGAGGAUAUUAGUGGCGGCUAAGGUUUGUUCUUGGAUUAGAGAGUCUUUCUCGUGAUCAUGAUGAUGCUCUUGGUGGUGUCUUUCUCUGAUCUUUUUUUUUGUCUUGAUCCCUCCUUUCUUGGACGUAGACGAAGUUGAGGAUCCGGAGCAAGAGAGAGAUGGAAGUAAUGUCCGGCGUCGGAAAGAUGGUAUUAGAGACAGCCUCCGAACGUGUUUCUCCGAGCUAUUACCGUUGACGACGGAGCUAGGUUUCUUCUGGUUUGGAUCUUGUUCUUGCGAUAUGCAUCUUAAAGAGUUUCCCAUUUUUUUAAUUUUUGGUUUUUCUUGUAAUGUGUACAAGUUUGUGUGUAUGUGUUUUAUAUAUAUGUAGCAUGUUCGUGCUUGCAUGUGUAUUAUUUUGAUUUCUGAUGGGUGAAAAUGAAGAGUUGAGACUCUCACGUUGUGAAGCUGUACUUAAUGUAAAUCUGUUUGAUCGUGAUAGUUUUGACACACUUUUUUUACUUGAGACUCACGAAAACGCACAUAUGAGAAAAAUUGAUUUAAAAUUUUGAUUAUUCUAUCAUCAACUAAUGAUAAAAAAAUAAAACUAAUGAAAAUUGUUUGCCUAUACAGAUGGAGAUAGAAGAAAGAGGGAGGAACAUGGAAGGGCACUUUCUUUGAGCAUUUUGCUACUUUGACUUUCGAGUGCAGACUAUUUCUUUACAACGAUAAAACAUAUUUAUCCUCGUAUCUUUCUUGUUUAUAUAUAGAUCUUUUUCUUUUGUCAGUCCCUAGCCAUUGUGACCAACGACUACGACUAAAUGUUGUUUAUCCGAUAGCUACCAUCAAGCGAUACUUUUGGUUGCUAAUUUUUUUAGCGAUUUUCACUGAAUUUGGUGACUACAAAACAAAUAAUAUGGCGAUCACUGAAUCGGAUUUAUUCGGAUUCGGAUAAUUCGGGUAGGAGAGUUUAUUAUCCGUUCGGAUUUUGUGACUAUUCGGAUCGGGUUCGAUUCGGAUAGUGUCAGAUUCGGAUCGGUUUCGGUUCGGAUAGUGUCAGAUUCGGAUCGGUUUCGGUUCGGAUAGUGUCUUUUUCGUGAUAAAAACUAAAAAAAUGUUUAAUAUGAAUAAAAAAUAGUUUAGUCUUACUAAAAUUUGGCUAAAUUUCGUAAAAAUAAGUAUAAUUUUAACAAAUAUAACUAAAAAAUUUCCGAUAUCUAGGUUAUUUAUAAUUUUUGUUCUUUGUUAUAAAAUUAUAGCUAAAUAUAACUAAUAUUUUUGAAUAUAUAAUUUUAUUUUUGGUUUUCGGAUAUCCUUUCGGUUUUUGGUUCGGAUCGGGUUCGAUUCGGAUAAUUCGGAUAGGAGAAUUCAUUAUCCGUUCGGAUUUCGUGACUAUUCGCUUCAGAUUCGAAACCGGAUUUUUCGGAUUGGUUUCAGAUCGGUUUUCGAAUUUCGGAUUUUAUGCCCAGGCCUCAUCGAUUGUCAAAUACCUCGAACAUGAUUUGUUUUGACGAACAAUAUUCCCUAUAACCUUUCUAUGAAUACCACUCCAUGUUGCAUGAUUGGGAGUAAAGGCUGCCAAAAAUAUAAUAUAUUUUGAAAUCUUCUUAGAGCAUAUGCAAGGGGGAACACUUGGUGUGUUCUUAAGGGUUUUAAAAUAAUAAAAAUGUUAAAUAGUGGAUACAACUGUUCUUAAAAUUAUAAAAAACUGUUCUUCAGGAAGAACAGUUUGCAGGAUAAGUUAGAACUGUUCUACCACUGUUCACCUUAUUUCCUAUUUUUAAAUCCUAAGAACACACUCAAAAGUUCCCCCCUUGCAUAUGGUCUUAUGGAGUCAGGUUCGUGGGAAACCGUAGUGGUAGAUAUAUCGGAUCAACCGAAAGGAUCAUUAAAUCAUGGGCCAAGGUUAAAAUUUAUGGAUCUUCAAUUUCAUGCCUGUUUGAUUCUAAGAAUAUUAUUUUGAAUUAUGAUAUAAUUAUUUCUUUUUAUUAAUUGUAAAUUUGGCAUAUUUGUUUAUUGGAAAGUCUUGAUAAAGUGGGAAUUUGACUUUUCUUCUAUAUGAUAUAUUAUUCUCUAACGUUAAUUGUAUUAAGUGGUGAUUGAUCUAUUUCUUUGUGUAGAAAAGGAGUAACGUUAGUCGUGGAAAAUUUCUCUAUAAGAAGAAGAUGUGUUGUGUCUUCCAAAGUAUACACUUGCUACACUGUUAAAACAGAGAAACAGAAAACAAAGUUCAUUAUUCAAGUGUUGUGUGACUGUUUAGUUUGAGAGAGAUAACCUUGGGAAGAAGUUGUUGCCGCUGUGAGGAGCACGAAGCAAGGAUUUCAGCAAGAAGAAGACAUCCAUGAUUAAAGGAGAGUAAAUGUUUUACUCGUGAUAUCUUAUAUCAUGUUUUAGAUAGAUAUGUUAAAAUUUGUGUAAAAGUUUUAUUUCUAUCUUGUAUUGUCUUCUUAAAGUUAUCUAAUAAACUUGUUUGCAGUCGAGGACUAGGGGUUGGUUUGAAAGAGAACCAACUGAUACCUCGUUAAAUCUCGUGUCGUCUCGUUUAUUUCUUUAUUGUUUAUUAAGCUUCCGCACUAUUUUAAUAUCUAGUUUAUCUCAAAAAUUUACAAUGCCCAUGGAUGAGAAGAUUUACAACAUUUGGUAAAAACAACAUCUCUAAUUGUCUUUGUUUAUAAACAUAUGCGAGGUAGUGCGGAUCCAGAGCAAUUAUAUCAAUAUUGGCUUGUAAUUCAUUAUUCACUAGAAAUUUAUUAUUUCAUAGAUUAGGACCCGUGUGAUCUUCCAAAAAAAAAAGAUAAGGACCUGUGUGAUACACGAAUUAAAUGAUAAAUAGUAUUUUAGAAAAUUUAGUAAGUUGUCUUGUAAUUUUAUGUAAACAUUAUGUUAAUCAAUUAUGAAUCUUAUAUGUUUGGAUUUGAAUCAGCAAAAUAUACCUUUUAAGAUAUCUUAUAACCUUUUAUUUUAUCCAAACUUAUCUUAUUAUAUAAAGUUUUGUUUUCCAAACUUAUCUUAUUAUGUGAUUGUAUUAUAAAUAUUGCUUAACUUAUUAUAGUGGUCCAUGAUUUUGAGUUUCUUUCUGUUUUUAUUUAAAAUGAUGAUUUGACUAGUUUACUUGCCUUGUUCUUGAUGAUUGAACCUUCAUGCCCAAAGGCUCUCUUGUAGUCAUUGUCCUCUGAUCCCUUAUGUGAGUCUAGAUCUCUCCCGGUCAUAGAAUAGCUCUUUUCACCAGCAGACUUAGCAUUUUCCUUAGCUGAUGUCAUGCCCAUAACCUCUGGGAAACUAUUACUUCUCUUUCUCUGCUUCUUGAAAUAUAACACAUGUUUUGUAAGAGACAAACAAUCCAAAAUUUCAGAGGUGGAACACAAAAGCAUGUUUCGUUUACCCUUUGUUGGAUUCUUGGUCACUUGUCUUCUCUUGAACAUCCGAUUUAGAGUUUUUCACUUCGUGAUCUACCUAUAAGACAAAAUCAAAGAAAACAAAACCCUCAUUACUCUCUUCCUUAACCAAGAAAAACUAAACCCUAUAUCUUAAGUCCCGUAACAAAAAAAACGAAUUGGGUUUCCCUAAAUUGCAAUCCUCAAUUCCAAACAAAAGAAUACUAAUCAGCGAUUCCAGAGCAAAAAAAAAACAAGCUUUUUACAUGGGCAACGAUGAUUCUUUCCCAAGCAAAGAAAAACCAAACCCUAAUUACUCCCUUCCUUAACUAAGAAAAACCAAACCCUAAAUCUUGAGUUCCGUAACUAAAAAACGAAUUGGGUUUUCCUAACUUGUAAUCUUCAGUUCCAAACAAAAGAACACUAAUCAGCGAUUGCAAAGUAGAAAAAAAAGAUAAGCUUUUUUCCAGUGCAACGAUGAUUCUUUUCCAAGCAAAAACUGUCGAAAAAAACCUCCUCCGGCAUCGCGUUCGGCGGUUCUUCAGUGAGCGCCGUCCUAUGAAAAAUUUCUGACAUGAGAGAGAGAGAGAGAGAGAGAGAGAGAGAGUAAUAAUAUAUUGUAUUUUUUUCUAUAUUAGUAAUAUUAUUGGUAUAUAAAAAUGUGACACAAAUAAAGUGAGCAAAAUAUGUUAUGCAUUCAACUCAAAAAUAAAUUGUUGCAUUAUUUUUCUUAUUAUUUCUUUAUAACACCUUUAAUUGAAAGGAUGAUUUAGUCUUAAUCUGUGGAUAUCACGUUAAAAUUGAUUAUUUCUUUCUAUCCAAACCUCAGAGAUCGAUAUUUUCCAAGCUUUAUGUUUCCAGAAAAAUUCAUUAAUUCAUCGAGAAGAAUACUCCAAGUGAAAGAUAUCGAGUGCCGAAUAAUCCUACAAAUUAAAUGUGAACAAAUCGAUCGGGAGUAUCUACAUGCAAAGAAAGCGUAACGGUAAAUAUAUUUGAUCAACCGAAAGGAUCAUUAAAUCAUGGGCCAAGUUCAAAAUUUAUAGAUUUUCAACUUCAUGCCCAUGGAGGAGAAGAUUUACAACCUUUGGUAGAAACAACCUCUAUAACUGUCUGUGUUUAUAAACAUAUGUCAGGUAGUGUGGAUUUAGAGCAAUUCUUCGCUAAAAAUUGAGAUAAUUUAUUAUUCACUAGAUUAGGAUCCGUGUGAUAUUUUGCAAAUUUACUUUUCACCUCCAAAAAAUGCAAAAUAAUCUUUUGAAGUAAAAAAUAAUAUGUAACACAACCCUUAUACAUAUAUUGUAAACGUUUUCACCGUCACAUAAAUUUAAUUUUAAAAAUUCUAAAGGUGUAGUUGAACUCCUCGUCUCGAGGGCUUCGAUUUGAUAUAUUAUUUUUUUCAAAAUUUUAAAAAUUUGAUAAUAGCAAAAAUGGCUAUAUUGCAUAUUAUUUCUGAAUUCAUAGAAUUAUUUUGCAUUUUUGGAGAAAGAGAGUAAAGUUGCAAAAAUUGGUAACUCUAAGGGUUUUUUGCACAAAACCCUUUUACUAUUAACCUUUUAUUUUUUCCAACUUAUCUUAUCAUAUAAAGUUUUGUUUUCAAAAUUGCUAACUCACAUUAUCGUUAAGUUUCUUUUAUAUGCUAAUUAUGUGAUUUUAUUAUACAUAUUACUUAAACUUAUUCUACUGGUCCAUGAUAUUAAGUUUCUUCACUAUGUGUUCUUUUAAAGUUACUAAUUAAAUCAAAAUAAUUUGAAAAUUAUUUAGUGUUCUGCUUUACUUUUUACAAUUAUAGUUCUAAUUUUUUUUAUCUUUUUAAUCCCUUAUUGACUUCUAAAGUCAAUCUUCACUUCUCUUAUAAUCUUAUAAUUAUAAAUUGAAAAAUAAAUAAGCAAUGAAUUUCUUACAAGAUAACAAGAGCUACAAAACAAAAUCUCAGUAUUUUAAAUAAAAUAUCUUAUAAGAUUUAUUUAAAUAUAUUGAUUUGUAUUUACUAUUUAGAUAUCUCUAAUUAAAUAAACAGUAGAUUUAUCCAAUCUUCAAAAAAUUUAUUAUCAUUAAUGAUAUAAUCAAAAAUGAAAGAUAUUAACAUAUAGAUAUACAAAAGUUCUAGAAACUUCUUUUUAAUACAAAAUUUGGACAAGAGCUAAGUUCAUAAGUGUCACAUGGUCCGAAACACGCCGAAACCAAGUAAGACCCACACGAACCACUCGACUCGAGUGCGUUAAGAUUUUCCUUUUUUUUAUUUACUUUUUUAACCGUGUGAUGGGUUAAAAGUUCUUAAGUCGGUCAACUUAAAAAGGUAACCAAGUCAAAAAAACCAAAUUUACUAGUUGAGUUCGGAAAUAAGAAAACCAAAGCCUACCUUAAAUAGAAUUUUAGAAAUUAUUAUAUAUUCCUUCUUCCUUAUUUAUUUAGUUUCUGCAUCGCCGUAAGAAAUCAAAUCAAAUCAAGGAACCUCUCUAAAACCCUAUUAAAGGCUCUCUCUUCUUCUUCUUCUUCUCCAAAUCUAAAUUUCCCUAAAAAACCUAAUCACGCCUCUCAAGCUUCCUUCUUUAUCGCCGGACUCUCCUCGGUUCCAUCUUCCUCUGCCGCCAGGUUUAUUAUUGAUCCGAUUUCAGAUUUGGGUUUUAAAAAAAAUUUGAUCUAGGGUUUUUCCGAUUUGAUUCUGAAUUGUUCUCUGUUUUUGUUUUGUCGUUGGUUUGAUUAUCAGUACGUGUGCAGAUAUGGCUACCGAGGGAGUUGUUCCUUCAGCGAAGGCGAUUUCUGCUGCCUUUGUGGAACAGUACUAUCAUGUUUUAAGAUAUGUUCCUCAUGAAGCUCAUAAGUUAUAUGUUGAUGAUAGUGUUUUCAGCAGACCUAGUCCUGAUGGUACUAUGCUGUCUUUUACUUCCGUUGAGGUAAUUUCAGAACAUAAAGUCUUGUCCUUUUUAAUGCUCCUUCUAUUUGAUAACAUAAAGUCUUGUCCUUUAAUGCUCCUAUUGUUUUGAAAUCGAUCGAUCUCAUGCUAGUGAAACUAUCCUUUGAUUACGUCACGGUUGUAUUAGCUCUUUAGCUUUAUGUUGCUCAUACUUUUUGUUGGUUGCUUUUAGUUUUUGUUUAUCUCAGUUUAUUGCAUUGUGGAAAUUGAGUUCUAUUGAACAAUUGCUUAUGUUAGAUCACAGCUCUUUAGAUUAGUGUGUUCUUCUAGUUUAGGUGAUGGUGAUAUGAGAACAGAUUUGUAUGCGAUUGUUGUGAUACUAGUUAUAAUUGACUUGUUGAUUUCUCAUACUUAAUGCUUUGUUGACUUCUUUUCUUUUUCUUCAAUUGAGAUUCACUUUAUACUCUUGUUUAGUUUCAGACUUCACAUUAUUUAUAAUGUUGGUUCUUACAGGCUAUCAACGAGCAUAUCCUUUCAUGUGGCUUUGACAAUACGACAUUUGAGGUUCUGAGUAUCGAUUCUCAGAAUUCUUUGGAUGAUGGGAUAAUUAUCAUGGUUAUCGGUUUCAUGACUGGAAAAGACAACCUGAGGAGGAAGUUUUCUCAGAUAUUCUAUUUGGCACGUCAUAAUAACCAUGUUGUCCUCAAUGACAUGUUUCGAUAUGUUGAUCAAGAUGAUUCCACCCCACAAACUCUGCCAGUUGUUGAAUGUGGUAAGUUGUCUUAACUUUUUUCCGUUUGAUUAAGUUUGUCGAGUAAGUCCAUAUCAGUCAAUAAUUAUUACUCUUUGUGGACUAUCUACAUUGUAGAGCCAGCAACUGAGAUUGUGAAGCCAGCUGCUGAGCUAAAGAAGACCGAGCUGAAACAGAAAAACGAUGCUUCGGUGGCCAAGUCUGUUAAUGCUGCUGUUGAAAAGAAUGCUGCUGCUCCAUUGGACAAUGGAAAGAUGAAGCAGUCUGAAAAAGCUGUUAUUGCUCAAAAAUCAACAGAGCAAGUUGCUGAAACAGUUGCUCCUCAACCUGAUGGAGCCAAGAGAUCGUUUGCUGCGAUUGUAAGUCAUAUGUUUGCAAAUUUUUGUUUAACAUGGGACAUCUAUGCAUACUUACCCGUAAUGCGGUACAGGUCCAAUCGUUGGCAAACAACGCUGCUCCGUUUCAAGUGAAAGCCCCGGUUCAGCAACCUAAAUACAUGGGACAACCACGUGCUGCUGCAGCACCUAAAAAACCUGCUUACGUCAGUAAAUCUAUAAAGAAAAAUGAUCAGAAGAUCAUUGAAGAACCAGGUUAGCAGACAGAGAUUGCCAUUUACUGUCGGAUUGAAAUUAACUCUUUUCGUUUCUUGUCUAUUUUGUUUAUCGGAUGGGUGUGUUUUUGUUUCAGGUAAAUCUAUAUUUGUGGCAAAUCUGCCAUUGAAUGCAAUGCCGCCCCAACUCUAUGAACUGUUCAAGGAUUUUGGUCCUAUCAAAGAAAACGGGAUUCAAGUCCGAAGCUCCAGGGUUUGAUCUUUGAUCUCUCGUAUCUUUUUGCUAUUUCUACUCAUCACCUCUCCUAGAAUCCUUACAUGAAUUCUACAUUUUUCUUAUGUGUCCAGGGCAAUGCUAAUCCAGUUUGCUUCGGGUUUAUUGCCUUUGAAUCUGCUGCCUCUGUCCAGAGCGUGCUUCAGGUAACUAACUACAGAUACCAGUUUCUUGUUUCCCUUUUAAAAGUCUCUGAAUUUCUAAUAUUCAAACUCUGUCAAUUCCAGGCUACCAAGAACACGCCCUUCAUGCUUGCAGACCGUAAGCUUCGUGUAAAGGAGAAGGAAGGUAAGCUUCUCUUUCCUUAACCCCCGCCUCUUAAUCUAAAAUCAUCGGUUUCUAGCGUGCAAGGCUGAAUCUUCCUCUUGCAGUUGACUAUGAUGGAAGCAAACCUUCUGGGAAAACCAAAGGUGGAAGCAACAAGAUUCAGAAUGGCUCUGCAGAUGGCAGCAAGACUGAGAUUAGCUCUGCAGAUGACAGCAAGACACAAAACGGCUCUGCAGAAGAUGGCGAAGAUGAGUUCAAGCAGGUCAGAAACCGUAGGAAUAUUAGAAAAAACCGGAAUGCAAAUGGAGACAAUAACCAAAAAAAAAGUGAAGGAGGAGCCCCUAAGGUUCAAGCAGCUUGAUGAUACUCUCCUCUACAAACACCAACACAAGAACAACACUUACAAUUUGGAGCUUUCUUAGAAAAUUUAUUAUUUCAAGAGUUUGCAAAUUGAGAUUAUUUUUCGACAUUACAAAUUCAUAUAUCUUUAUUUCUUUAGGUUUUCUUUUUUGUUUUCUUCUUAUGGAACUCAACAUAAUUCUUCUUUUCACCAGUCAUUUUCUUCUGUCUUUUUGUUUUUUUUCUUCUUAUAUUCCAAUUUUUAUUAUUCGAGUAUUCACGUUAACGUAUAUCCUAUGGUUUGUUCCGUUGCGAAUCAAGUCACUUUGAAGAAAAAUAGUAAUUUAAGAUAAGCUAUAUGAAAUCUGGUCUAAUGUUGCAUCAUUUCAAUAUUUGUAAUUUCUAAAGAAGCAAAGAAUUUGUAAUAAACAAGUAAUUAGGAGUUGUAAAAAGAAGUAAUUUAGCAAUGCUUGAUAAAGAGAAAACAAAUAAUAUGCGAAUGCGACACCUCUCUCUCUCUCUUGUCUCCCACGUCAACGAUUUUGCUAGAUUUGAUUCCAAUCUCUUUUCCAGCUUACCUACCUUUUCUCUCAGAAAAUGUGUUAAAAAUGGCUUUAUCUUUUAGGAAAUUUUUUCCCUUUUGGAAGUAAUUUCCUAAUUUCUUAGCAAUAGCAAGAACCUAAAAAGGAAAUGACCAUAACAUUUUAUAAUGUAAAAGGAUUAAAAAAAAAAAGGUCAUUAUCAUCUUACAAUGAUAUAAGAAUUCUUUUUCAAAACUUAUUAAUGUAUCCAUGGUUACUUAUGAUUUUUUCUAAACCAGUUACUUUUGAUUUAUCAUUAAAUUCGAAAGUAUAAAAAACCAUUGGACUCUAAUCCAUUAUGAGAAUUUUUUUCCCUCUCCUAACAAACUUUUUUUUUUUGUCAUCCGAAAUUAAAUAGGGCUCAAAAGAACCAUUUCACUCUCCUAAGAAACUGAACUCAUAAAAAAUGUCAAAAUAUUCUCGAAAAACUCAAAAUUUCUCAUAAAUAAAAUUCGAAAUAUUUCUCCUCACAAUUAUAUUUUAUAUAUAGAAUCCUUCCCAAAAAUAAUUAUUGCAUAAUACUCAUUGGUUUUACUUUUUUAUGGGCUCAAGUUUUGUUCCAAUUUUUUUGAUAUAUGAAGGUCUAUAAAUAUAUUGGAUGCAAUGAAAGUUCAUUCUAAGAGAACAAAUUACAUUCUACUACAAUUUCUCAGAAAUUUUAGAACCUCUCUACAUAAGUUGUUUGAAUCCUUUUUAAAAGGAUAGAUUUUAAUGAGUUAAAUAAAAAAAUUAGAACCAAACUAAAGUAAUUAAAUUCUUUACUUACCAAUCCGUUGGAGACACGUGACCCCUAUGGCAAUAACUUAUAAAGCGUCCUCCGCCAUUACCCAUCACACAACACCUAUUAGCUUUGAUGUGUGGUGGACAGUGGACUUGUAGUGAUGAUGAGUGGCCUAGAUUCAUUAUUCUUUUUAGAAUCAUACAAGAGUUUCAGCCUUUUUUGUAAACAAAUAAACAAAACAUGAAUUUUGUAUAAGAGUUUUGGCUUAAAAUGUUUUGUGGUUGAAAUUUUAAAUUUAAUUUUGCAUUAAAUUUACGUGAUUCUACAAAAUUGACGAUUUAUCUGCUAAUGUAUCUCUAUCAUUGAUACUAGUAUAAAAUCCUAUUACAAGAGAAUACUUCGAAUAACUGAAUAUUUUUAUCGAAUCUCGAAUUUCGACUAUUAUAUACUCCCUCCGUUUUCGAAUAGUUGUCCUUUUAGAGAAAUUUUUUUGUUUUUAAUUAGUUGUUGUUUACAGUUUUUCAUGCAAAAUUUAUUACUUUUUUAUUUUUUAUAUUUAUUUUUAUUAUGUACCUUGAUUUACUAUUGGUUAAAUUAUGUUUAGGUAGAUAAUUAAUGAUAUUUUUAUAUUGAAAAACUAACAACAUUAAUAGUUUCUUAAUUUGUGUGCAUAUAAUUAAAACGACAACUAUUCGAAAACGGAGGGAGUAUUUAGGUUGACCAUUAGUAGAUAUCGUAAAAAUGAUCAAAACAUAAAUAUGUAAUCUAUAGUUUGUAUUAUUAUUAAUUGUUAGUAAAAUUUCAAAGACGACAAUACGCUGAAUUUUUUCAUUUGCGCAAAAUUACUGGAAAUAUUGGAGUGGCUUUUUGCCGAUAGCUAAAUGUUUGCCAUGUUUAUCGAGUCAUGGCUAUUAUUAUUUGUGUUACCAUUCUAUUCAUUUUAAUUUUAAAGACAAGAAAGAAAAAAAAAAAACUCUGGUCUUCUAGUUUCUACGAUAGACUCUUCACUCAUAAUUUAUCUGGUUCAAAAGGGUCUCUAAGUGUAUAACUGUAUAUGUACAUUACGAAAUCAAGACUAUAGUAUAAAAGCAUGAUUCACGUUCUAACAUGAAGUAGAUAGAUAGGAUUAUUAAAAAAAAAAAAAAAAAAAAAAAAAAAAAAAAAAAAAAAAAAAGAUAGGAUGAUUUUAAGAAUAAUACAAGAAAUGGAUCGGAGGAUGUUAGACACGCAAGGAUCCACACACCCACUAGGACACGUGUUUACAUGUCCGAGCGCUGACAUGCUUCACGUUCCCGCGACAGUUCGUUGUCACGGUGUAAGAGGAGGUCUCUCAGAUCUCUGAGCUGGCCAUAUAGGACCACGUACCUUACCCUUAGCCAAUGGGGAACGCUUAAUAUUAUAGAAUAAUAACUUUGUUUUUGAUAAAAUUAAUAUUGGUUCAUGCGAUGAAGAUCACGUUCAAUUAAGGUUAUAGAGGAAAUCGAUAUCUUAGAAUUUUCAAGACUUCGGAUAUAUAUAGAUUUGCAAAUUUACUUAUUUAGAUUAAGAUCAUGCCCAUAUAUAACUCAUAAAUAUUAUGCUCAAAUUUGAAAAUCAUAAAGAAAUCAAAGUGAUAAAUUAAUAAUAAGUUUAACUUUGUACUAUAUAGUUACAUUAUAUAUAUCAAGUAACUAACUAGUCGUUCGAGAGAUCUAUGUCGAAAAUAAGUUUCUCCAUCAAGUUGUUCAAGUUUUUAUAUAUUCGGGUCUACUUCUAAAACCGGUUACAGUUAUAUACUACGUUUAAAAGUAAUGUGAUAAAAAAAUCUGCCUAAACAAAUAAAACUCAACAUGGUCCUAAAUGAUUCACUCAAACCUCUAUGAUAAAACUUAAAUCCAAAUAUCCAAUACAUGCUUUAAUUAAUUUUUCUAUUACUCGAAUUCCAAUUUCCAAGCCUCGUAAUUACCAUCGAUAAGGAGAUUUCGUUUUAGAAUAAUGGUUUUAAAUAUAAAGUAGUUCAUCUAUACGAGACACCAUAUCUAACAAUGAUGUUUAAUUAAACUUUUUUAACAGAAAAGAUGAAACCAUUAAUUGACUACUUGGUCGAUGAUUAAUGAUUAAUUUUAUUUUUCUCAAAAUAGACACAUUAUUUCUAUUUUGAAACGAAUAGAACCAAUCAUGAAUAAAGCACACUAUAGAACAAGCAAGUUGUGAAAUGAAAAAUACAAAUUUCUUUAAAUACGUGUUGGAAACCAUUGUAGGACCUGAGACAAAGAACCUUAAGCCCAUUCCUCUGAACCUAAAACGAGACAGAGCAACACGUGUCUCGUCCGACACAUGUCAUCCUCUCCGUUUUUAACGCUGAUGAUGACACGUAACUCGCCAGCGAAUAUUAUAACAAAUUAAAUAAGAGAUUUUGUUUUUUUAAAUAAUAGUAUAAGCAAAGAAGCAAUAAUACUUAUAAUAGUGGCAAAAAGUGUGGGGACAAAGAAAUUAAAAUUAAAAAUAAUUAUAAGCCGUACAAAAACGUGUCGAUUCGAGGGAUCAUCUGAUUGCCACUUGGCACUUUUCACACAUUGGCUAUUCUCGUCGCUUUCUUUUCCUCUACGUGCCCAAAACCCAACAUUUAUAUAUAUUCUUACUCAACUUUAUUUUAUUAAUUUUCCUCAACAACAUAAUAAUUAAUAAAAAAAAUAAAUAAACUUUUUAAUUAAAGUAUGUAAAAUAGUAAAUUUUAUUAUAUAGGAGAGAAUCUAAAUUGAUUACAAUUUCUUUUCUUGGUGAAAUCUUUUUUGCGAGUAAAUAGAAAAAAAUAAUUACAGGGAUUUGGUUUUUAUUGUACAUGUUAAUGUUAAUGAUGAACUAAUAAGGUAUUGACAAGUAAAAUUGAACUGAAUAUUCUGUCUUGUACUCAAAUUUGAGUUCUCUUUCUCUGUCUCAUCCAUUUCACUUUUUUUUUGGUCUGUCUCCCCCAUUUUUUAGAGAAAUCAUAUUCAAUAGUAACAGAACGUGUCUCGUAAGUUUUUAUUAAUGGAUUAAAGAGAAACUUUUUCUUCUUCUGCAAAUAUUGGAUUAUGGAUCGUGGCAUCAAAAUCUGAUUACUGUUUCAUCAGCUUCUUUGUUGUUAAUGGCGGAAGCAAACGAGAGAAGUAGAGAAAUGGCGAGAAGUAAUAGUUGUGUGUUUCCAAGAGAUCUACUUCAGAGAUUUAUCUCUAAUUCUGUUGAAGGUGAAGAUGAUGAUGAAGAAGAAGAAGAUGAUGAGAUCGAGUUAAAUCUUGGCUUAUCUCUUGGUGGGAGAUUUGGAGUUGAUAAGAGUAAUAAUAAUAAGCUUGUGAGAUCUUCUUCCGUUGUUGUGACGAUGCCUCUGUUUCGGGAAGAUCAUCAUCAUCAUCAGGCGGCGGCGAUGAUAACGACGAAGGUUUCGACGGAGACGGUGGCGGGAGCGACGAGGGGGACGGGUUUGAUGAGAACGACGUCGUUGCCGGCUGAGUCGGAGGAAGAGUGGAGGAAGAGGAAAGAGAUGCAGACUUUGAGAAGAAUGGCGGCGAAGAGACGGAGAAGCGAGAAGCUUCGUACCGUCGCCGUCGCCGGUGGAGGAAACAGUAAUAAUCCGGAAGAAGCUGUCACUGCCACCACUUCGAGACGGCGAGGUAGACCAUCGUCAGGACUUCCUCGGUGGUCAGCGACGGCUAACAAAAGCGAACUUUUGCGGCAACACAGCGCUGCUCUUGAUUCACUACAAGUUUCCGUUGAAUCUCAAGGCGGAGGAGGAGGUGGAGGAGCCGCCGGAAGUUCAUCGAGCGUCUCCGAGUUGGAAACUAAAGGUAUAUUACUAAUCUAUCUAAUAUGAUCAUUAAAAUUGUUGAAACUUGAACUAUAAGCAAUUUGAUGUAACAAAUCAUUAAAGCCAAAUUUAGAUUGCUAGAUAGAUUAAUCCUUUGAUGCAAAGUUUUCGCCUUUUCGCAACCCAAAAGGUCGUUUAAUUGUGGUAAUGGACUAAUGUUACUGAAAAAAACAUGUUUUGGUGAAUACAGCGUCGAGCGAUGAAGCAAGAAGCUUACCAUCAACGACACAACAACAAGAAACAACCACAAAGCCAACAAAUCGGCUGCGAAGAUUGAGUUCAGUGGACAUGAACAUGAAGAUGGAGCCACAAGGGAAAGGAAAAAGUGAGAUGCCAUGUGUGUUUACAAAAGGAGACGGACCAAAUGGGAAGAGAGUUGAUGGGAUUCUUUAUAGAUACGGUAAUGGAGAAGAAGUUAGGAUCAUGUGUGUUUGCCAUGGCGAUUUCUUGUCUCCGGCCGAUUUCGUUAUACAUGCCGGUGGUCCUCAUGUAGAUCAUCCUCUUAGACACAUUGUUGUCAACACUUCUUCUCCUUCUAAUCUCUUAUAAUAGACCAAAACCCCUCUGAUCCAACCCACUUUUGUUUAGAGAAGAUGUUUUUAAGAGUCUCUGGUCAUUUCUCAAUUUUUAAGUUAUAUAUGUAUUUUUAUUACUUUAUACAGAGAAGAGAAUUAAGGAGACAGAAACAUCAUUUAUAUCAGUUUCAAGAGAGUAGAAUGAGAAUAACAUUUUGAUGAUUCAUGCAUAUGGUGAACAAGAGUAAUACAGAUGAAAAACCUCCCUACACUGAAAAUUUUAAAAACAGACUUGAAAAAGAUUCUAAUGGCUAGGCACUUGUUUGCUGCUGUACAAAUCAUCUACUAAACACACACUUUCUUCUAGCUUUGUAUCACAAUCUAGAAGGCUGGAUUCGUUUCAGCAGUCUUACGGCUUGUUUCAUCGUCGGCCUUAUCGAAAGGCUAUCGACUGUGCAUUUGAGAGCCAAAUGUAGAACCUCGACCAAAUCGUCUGGUGGACUAGUCUCCCAUAGUCCCUUGGUGAAGACGUCUUUGGCUUUGCCUUGACUCAACAUCAUAUGUGCCCAGGACACGAUGUUAAACCCGUUCUCAUGCGAAGAGAAAGAUGGAUCUAGCGCUCGCUUGUCCGAUAUGAGCUCCAAGAGAACUAUGCCGUAGCUGUAAACAUCUGCUUUCUCCGAGACACGGCACGUCAUUGCGUAUUCUGGAGCAACAUAGCCAAAUGUACCAGCUACACCUGUUGUGACAUGAGACUGCGAAGUUCCCAAGAGUUUCGAGAGUCCGAAAUCGGAUAGAUAAGCGUUGUAGUUGUUGUCCAAGAGUAUGUUACUCGGUUUGAUGUCUCUAUGCAAGACUUUAGGGGAACACUGUUCGUGAAGAUAGGCGAGAGCACGCGCAACAUCAAGAGCAAUCUUGUGAAGAACCUUCCACUCAAUAGCAGCUUUCGAUCUUUCUUUAAUGAAAUCUUGAAGGUUUCCCCCGGAUAAGUAGUUGUAGAUAAGAAACAUCUCUGUUUCACUCGCGUGGUAACCGAUUAACAUAACAAGAUUCGGAUGCCUAACCAUCUCAAGAGCAGAGAUCUCAGCAUGAAACUGUUGAUCCCCUUGAAACCUCCCAACAGAGAGUCUUUUAACAGCAAACACAUUCGUUGGAGACACCUCUGCUUUAUACGUCGAACCAAAACCGCCAUGACCGAUACAGUUGGAGUUACUAAAGUAACCAGUAGCUCUAACAAUGAUCUCAUACGUCAGAGGAAUACCAAUGUCCACAAACACUUUGAUCUCCUUGAUUUCAUCUACCUGAAUCUGAGAGUUUCGUUUCCAUUUCUUCGUGUAGAGGAACAAGAGCACAAGAACAAGAAGCACAAAGACAAUCACUGAAGCCGACACAAUCGAAGCAAUCUCAAUCGGAUACAAUCCAGGUUUACCAGGAGAAUCAUCAGCUGAGCUUGGACCAAUUUCAUCUUCAUCUUCAAAACUCAUAAGUUUCCUAAGAACAACAUUUCUUGAAAACCCAUCAAGAACCCUAAUUCCACCGAUAAAGCUGUUACCUUUAAGAUCAAGAAUCUCUAAUUUCUCCAACCCCCAAAUCUCCUUUGGAAUUUCACCUCUUAGAUCAUUAAAAGACAGAGACAAAACCCUAAUUUCAGACAAAUCUCCCACAACCGGAGAGAUUACACCACCAAGUCUUCUUCUACUUGAAGAACAAGAAGACAAAUCUGGGAAAUGAAGAACACCACUACCUUCAAGCUCAUCACAACCUCUGAGAAUCAAAGAGACGACUCUUAAAUCAGAGUUACAAGAGACACCGUACCAAGAACAAUGGUUUGAUGAGCUGUCGGAAACCCAGCUAGACAGAACUCCAUUUGGAUCGAAGAAACUACUCUUCAGCUUCAAAAGAACAGCUUCGUCGUGAAGACCACUCUCGGUUAAAAGUUUCCGAGAAAAUGAAAACACAAACAAAUUAAACAGCAAGAAGACCAAACCCAGAAUUUUCAUUUUUCUUCUUCUUCACAAGAGAAAGAGAAAGAGAGACGACGGCAGAUGAAACAAGGAAAAUCAAAACCCUAAAAUAAAAAUUGUCUCUUUUUCACAAAUUUUAAGUCUUUUGUGAAAAAAUUUGAUCUCUCUUUCUCGCUCUCGAAAUCGAAAUUUCAAGUUGCAAAAGAAGAAAGUUUCUUUACUCCAAAAGAAAAUG